UUGCAAAGUCCAUGGAGCAAAGUAUUUAUAGAAUGAGCGUUGGGUUGAAGACCGUAUUUAAGGGUGAUUGCUAAAACAGAGAAACCCAAGUCCAUCCGGUUCAGACGGCACACGCAAUUCAGAAAAAUAGUCAUCGUACUGACAUCAGGUCGGAAUUGAGCGCAACCCAUCAACUGUUUACGCAUAGAAACCACAGCAGAAUAUUCCUUCAUCUUGGAGAGUGCCCCAAACAAACAAUUGAAAGUCCAAAUAGAGGGCAAGGGUUUGGUUUGAAUCAUGGAAUCGAAGUACCCCAAUGCUUCAUCUUUCCUAAUUUUUCCAGAUUUGCAUCGAGUUUGAAUCAAAUUGUCCGAUUCCGAAUGGGUUUGUUUAAAUCUAUCUGUACUAGUAGCAUUACCAGCAGCGGAAUGAAAUCCAUCUUUUUUGUGCAGAAAGGUAAAAAUGAAUGAAGGAGUACCUGUUGAGUUAGGAAGUCUCGUGGUUAUCACCUUUAUCUUCAUCUUCCACAGAUUCAGCCCAGUUCAUGAAAUCCCAUGAAUUUCAAUCCUUCUCUAGAAUCAAGCUGCAAUUGAAAAGAAGCUGUCUUCAAUUGGUUCUUGUUUCAAACCCUAAUUCUGUAUUCCGAAAAACACUACCCUUAUGCUCAUUACAUAAAAUAUGCGACAUGUAUUUACAGUGUUAUAAUCUAUAUAUCUAUAUAAGACUAAAGAGGUGAAGUUUCUAAAAAGUUCUUAAAUACCGCUUUAUUUUUUCAAAUUUUUUAAGGACUACAACUUGUGUAAUUAAAAAGAAAAAAACCUGAAACUUUCAUAAUACCUAAAUUGCCUUUCUAUUAUUAAGAGCUUCCAAACAAAUAAAGGAUGAAAAAAAACGCAGUGGGAUUGUGAUUGGUUUGUAAGUUCAUUAUUUUACAGAAUAUAUUUUAUAACACCAAGUUACUGUGCAUUUAGGUCAUCUAUAACCGAAGGAGUAGCCCUCUGACUCUUCAAGAAAUUAAUAUUUUAAUAAACAGUGCAAGGUCAUAUUGUUUACCAUCUCCAACCGAGGGCCAAACAUAGUCAUGUGAUAAAAAAUCAUCUCCAACCAAGGGACAAAGUGUCAUAAGGCCAAACAUAAUUUAUUAUUUAAAUUUAAAAAUUACAACAACUUCAAUUUAAAAACUACAUCUUAUAUUUAAAAACUACAACUUAAACUUAAAUUUACUGUAAUUUCAUGUUACUUAAUGUUAUUUAAGAAGUUAUUUCCAGAAACUGGUGAACUAUACCGAAGUAAACUUGACGACCCCGACUUCACAUUCUUCAACGCGUCCAAGAAGGCCAUUGAUAUACGAUUCCUCUCAUCUCUCUCUUGUGUUUAAGCAAGGAUUUGGCUCCAUUUUAGCGCUCUCUCCUGUUUUUCUUCUGUUAGUUUUCAAUUCUUAGGAUUCUUUGUGAUUUUCGUUUACGGAAACCUAAUCUCCAUAGCUAGGCUAGGAGAGAAACCUACACUAUAACUAUGUACUUUUAUUAUUUUGAUUUUAUUUUGGAUUUUCAAUGUCAAAUUUAUAUUGUGGAAUUUCUUGUUUAAUCUAUUUUUGGAAUGAUGAAUAUUAGUUAGAGUAAAUUGUAGUUAUGGUCCUUUAACUUUAACUCAAUUGGAGCAAUGAUCCCUUAACUAAAAAUUCAUUACCAUUGGUCCAUCAACUCAUCAAAACGUGCAGCUAUGAUCCCUCAACUAAAAAUUCAUUACCAUUGGUCCCUCAACUUUAAUUCAACUGGAGAAAUGGUCAUUUAACUUUAACCUAAUUGUAGCAAUGGUCCUUCCAACAUAACUCGUUUUAACAAAAUUUUUGACGUAGUUGACAAAAAUGACCAUAAUUACACACUUUGAUGAGUUGAGGGACUCUAAUUGUAUAAAUCGUCAUUCCAACAUAACUUAUUUGACAAAAUUUUGACAAAAUCGAUGAAAAUGACUAUAGCUACACAUUUUGAUAAGUUGAGGGACCAAUGGUAAUGGAUUUUUAGUUGAAGAACCAUUGCUCCAAUUUGAUUAAAGUAGAGGGACUAUUGCUACAAUUUAUUCUAUUAGUUAUGAUCCAUAAGAUCAACCAUUUUAUUUUUUAUUUUUUUGUGUUCUUGUUUUGCUUCAACAUUCAUGCUUUUAGUGAACUAUAUAAAUUGAUUGAUUGGUAGGAUUUUGGAUGUUCGAUUUAAACACCAAAAGGUUUUAUACGAGAAAACUUAAAUGUCAUAUCUUCUGAUUGAGAGCGCACCUUGUUUGAUUAUCAAUUAAGUUAUAAAAAUGAAUCGAAAUAGUGGAAUUGCAUAAUUGUAUAUAGGUGGAACCCCAAUGCUUUAAUGCUACUUGGAGCAUAUGGUAUCUACAAAACAAGAUCCUGUUAUACCAUCUUCAGUUGAUGGAAUAGAAUUCCAUCUUGCUAAGCAUUUAAAAGGCCACAGAAAUGUUUCCACAGGAAGAGUCAACCGAAUGUUUGAAGAUUGUAUAAAACAUCAUAUAGCUGGUUGUGUUUAAGGUACAUCAACAAUGCCAACAAUUAGGAUACAACUAUAUAUAUGUUGGACAAUUUGAGCAUUACCCUGCUAAUCCAACAUGGCUUUUACGACGAAAACGCCCCAAAGUUCGUUGCAUUUCCAGAUCAGGCAUCAAUCCUAUUUGGAUCAUUUCUUUAACAAGCCUCAAAGCUUCACCGAUUCUGUUAACGUUUAUAUAGCCGUUGACCAAGGUUUUAUAGGAAGCAAUAUCAGGCGCAUAACCCAUAAUCACCAUUAAGUUCAACACCACCUUCGCCUUAUCCAUUCUGCCCUGCAAACAAUGUUCACUAACCAGCACACUGCAAGUUAAUGUGCUGAGUUUCAUACCGUAUUCAAUUGUUGCCUCAAAUAUUUUGUGAGUCUCUUCUGUCAUCCCAUCUUUGCAGAUAGCAUCCAAAAGUAUUACCAAAGUAACGGUAUCAGGCAAGAGUCCCCGGCUUACCAUAUCAUCAAACAACCUUGUGGCUUCUUCCCAUUGAGCUGUACGGCACAUGCCAGUGAUUAAACUGUUGUAAGUGAUAACAUCUGGGGCAACACCUUCAUCCAACAUUCUAUUAAACACCCUUGUAGCUUCUUCCCAUUGAGCUGUACGGCACAAUCCAUUAAUUAAGGUGUUGUACGUCACAACAUCAGGCUUUUCCCCUUUUAUGGAUCAUUUCUUCCACAAGAUUCAGUGCCUCUGCUGUCUUCCCUUCCUUGCGUAAAGCAUCCAGUACAGAAUUGUAUGUAACAAUAUCAGGCAAGACUCCAUAACCAAUCAUGGUUUUAAAUAAUCUCACACCUUCCUCCCAGUUACCAGACUUGCAUGAUGCGGAAAUCAUGCUAUUAAAAGUGACAACAUUAGGCUUUAGGCCAUUCGUUGUCAUCUUUUCAAACAGAGUAAGCGCUUCUUGAAUUCUUUCCUCCUUGCAAAGACAGCUGAUAAGAACACUAUAUGUGUAUACAUCGGGUGAAAUUCCACUGUUAAGCGUGCAAAUCAAGAAGCUCUUGGCUUUUUCAAACCUCCCCGAUUGGUAUAAGGCAUAAAUUAGAGUGUUAUAGGUGACAACAUCUGGCCUGACUCCAUGAUCCACCAUUUCGUCAAACAGAGAGAGCACUUCUUCCCAGCGACUCAUGUUGCAUAACCCAUGAAUCAAGGUGGUAUAAGUGAUAAUACCCGGUACAACACUUUUGUAGAUCAUAUCUCUAAAUAGGGUCAAGGCCUCAUCUAUUUGUCUUUCCUUACACAGGCUAUCUAUGAUGGGAUUGUAGCAGUCUUGUUUGGGCUUGAACCUUCCAUCUUCCAACAUAUUCGUAAGUAUCUCGAGUGCCUUAGAAGUUUUCCCAGCCUUGCAUAGUCCAUUUGUAUCCCUUCUCUUCUAUUAACUUGAACAGCUCUAUUGCCUCAGCCCAGAAACCGUACUUGCAAAGCCCGUGAAGUAAAGUGUUUAUAGAAUGAGCAUCGGGUUGAAGACCACAUUUAAGGGUAAUUGCUAAAACAGAGAAACCCAAAUCCACCCGGUUUAGAUGGCACAAGCAAUUCAGAAAAAUAUUCAUUGUACAGACAUUAGGCCGGAAUUGAGCACAUCCCAUCAACUGUUUACACAUAGAAACGACAGCAGAAUAUUGCUUCAUCUUGGAGAGUGCCCCAAACAAACAAUUGAAAGUCCAAAUGGAGGGCAAGGGUUUGGUUUGAAUCAUGGAAUUAAAGUAACCCAAUGCUUCAUCUUUCCUAAUUUUUUCAGAUUUGCAUCGAGUUUGGAUCAUACUCUCCGAUUCCAAAUGGGUUUGUUCAAUUCUAUCCGUACAGGUAGGAUUAGCACGAACAGCGUCGGAAUGAAAUCCACUACUUGGAUUCUGCAGAAAGGUAAAAAUGAAAGAAGGAAGAUUACCUAGAGAUGGAGGUCUUGUGGUUAUCCUCUUCAUCUUCAUUUGAAAGCUCUCUACUAUUUUUCUUGGUGUUCGAGGACGAUUUUGGUAUAAGGGCAAGGAUUUGGCUCCAUUUGAGAGCUCUGUCCUGUUUUUCUUCCGUUAGUUUUCAGUUCGUACAAUUCUUUGUGAUUUUCAUUAACGGAAAACUAUUCUGCAUAGCUAAGGCUAGGAGGAAACCUACACUAUAACAAUGUACUUUUAUUAUUUUGAUUUUAUUUUGAAUUUUCGCGGAAUUUUACAUUGUGGAUGUUCAAUUAAAUUUCUUAUUUAAUCUAAUUUCAGAUUGAUGAAUAUUGAUUAUGAUUAGGAUCAACCAUGUUUUUAUUAUAGUUUUGUUUCAACAUUCAUGCUUUUCGUGAAAUGUAUAAAUUGGCUGAUUGGUAUGAUUUUGACAGCAUAGUUUUUUUAUAUUUUGUCUUCGUAUAAACUAUUCUUAGGAUUUUGAGUAAAUUGUAACAAUCAUCAUUUAACUUUAACUCAAUUUGAGCAAUGAUUCAUCAACUAAACAUUAAUUACCAUUAAUCCCUCAACUCAUCAAAACGUGCAGAUAUUGUCCCUCAACUAAAAAUUCAUUACCCUUGGUCCUUCAACUUUAAUCCAACUGGAGAAAUGAUCUCUCAACUUUAAUCCAUUUGUAGCACUAGUCCUUCCAACAUAACUCAUUUUGACAAAAUUCUGACGAAGUUGAUGAAAAUGACCAUAGCUACACGUUUUGAUGAGUUACGGGACCCCAAUUGUAACAAUGGUUUUUCUAACAUAACUCAUUUUGACAAAAUUCUAACGAAGUUAAUUAAAAGGACCAUAGUUACACAUUCUGAUAAGUUGAGGGACCGAUAAUAAUGAAUUUUUAGUUGAGGGACUAUUGUUCCAAUUUGAUUAAAGUUGAUGAGCCAUUGCUACAAUUUACUCUUAUUUCUAUAAGAAAUCUAAAGGGCUUAUAUAGUUCGAAAUCCAAAAUGGAGAUUUAAUCACCAAAAACUUUUAUAUUGAGCAAACUUAAUUGUCAUAUCUUUUGGUUUUUUAUUUCUUGGGUCCCGCAUCAGAUGCUCCUAAUUUUCUAUAUUUUAGGUGUUUCCCCUUUGGUUUUUUAGAUGUACAAGAGUAGAAACCUUCCGUACAUAAGCUUCACAUUCUCCCUCAACAAUUUGUGUGUCUUUUUGUCGAAAUUAUUCAUGUCUUUCUAUGUUACGGUUUAAAAAAGGAUUUCGAUAUUGUCCCCAGUCACUCUAAGGGUUCUAUUUGAUCUCUAAGAAUUGUGGGAAAGAACAGGCAAAUGCAUCUAGACGAGUGGUUUGGUGGUUAGGAGACUUGGAGGGCCAAUGGAGGUAGUCUAUUCUUGCCAUAUUUUCUUUUUUAGGUUAGUAUAUGCAGCUUUAAAGAAAUGACGUUAGAUCAUCACAAUCUCAUUGCUGGAUUUUAUUUAGCGUUGGUUUCGAUAUGAUAGUAUCAUAUUUAGACUCAAAUGCUAAUAGAUUAUGAGUGGUUUUUAAUCUUUGAUGAUCUGGCAUCCGGUUUUAUCUUUCUUAUGUUGUUUUUUUUUUUUAAAUUAAAAUUUUUAGAAUUUUCAGAAUUUUGGGUCAUUGGAGGCAAAAUUUGGUUGCUUACUUGACACGAUGAGGUAUAUAAUUAUACACCCAAUUGACUUUGAUCUUUAUGUUUUUAAUAAUUGAGAAAGAGUAGUGUUAAUAAUUGAGAAAUUAAACAUGUUUACAUGACAAAUUCAUCUUAGAGAUUUGUUUGGUUUUGAAAUUCCAUCAAAAGCUAUGAUUUUUGUGCGAUUGAUUUUGUGAGGGAGAUAAGACACUGACUUUCUAAUUUGGUUUUUUUCUCCCUCCUUUUUCAAAUUCCUUCAAAAUCUUGCAAUUUGCCUUUCUAAAUUAGCUUAAGAGUUUUCAAAAAAUUGAAUACUUCGUUAAUUUGUUCAUUGAGAUUGGUUCUGAAAUUUCAAUUUGUUUAAGCAAUGACAAAUUAGGAUUGGUUUUUAAAUUCCCCAUUCAGAAAUACAUAGCAAUUUCAGCUACAGUUUGUUACGCAAAUACAUGGCUAAUAAUUAACGUCUGUUUACUCUCAAAAAAACAUUUCCCAAAUCCUCAAAUACAUAGCUAAUUCAAUUACACGCACAUUUGUUUGCUGAAAUCAAUGUCAGAUAUUCCUUGGGAGUAAGCAUUGUUAAAUUUUAAUUGCAAAUGGCAGCUGAAAUUAUCUUAAUUAUUACCACUUUUGAUUUGGAUUUGUAACACACAAUGUUUAGAUCAUUUGAUCGGUACUUAGUUAUGUUUAAUACUGGCGGUUUGGCUGUGAUUAAAUUGAUCCAGUCUCGAAUAGUGUGACAUGUGAGAUGAUAAUAGACUAACAGAGGAAAAGGAGUUGAUGCAUGUGUGUUUGAUUUACAAAUUUUGGCAAUUCCUUGCCAUUUUUUUGGUUAGCUGGUGAUAUAUAUCUAUCUUCAUAACCAAAUAGCAAUAACUUUGAGUUUCUAGAAGUUUUAAUGUGUUUUAUGUCCUGCAUUUUUGUAACGUCUGUACAAGUUGUCACUAAGAUCUUUUGGUUUCUAGCUACUUUAGUUUUUCAGCAUUGAAUCGUAGGAUUAAAGUUUUUUGAUUGAGUUCUUAUUUAAUUGCAUAUUGGAAUGGGUACAAUCUAAGCACUCCUAAAACUGAAAAGUUCUCCGAAGAUUGCGAGAAUGGUUGUGUCAGAUAUGGUUUAUUGUCCAUGCAAGGAUGGCGUACCACAAUGGACGAUGUUGUGAGUGUAUUAAACUUUUCUCUUCCUAUUUGAAGUUGUUUUCAGAACAUAAGUUAUUUUAUGUCCAUUCUUAGAAGUUUCUACUAUUGUAUCAUUUUCCGUCUUUAUUUAGCAUGCUAUAGUUAUGAUUCAACUGAAUAUGAUUUUACUUGACAUGUUCAAAUUCUCUUAAUCAUGUUCUUGAAUUUUACUAUAUGUAUCGGAUUCUUUGUAUUUCAUUAUCUGAACUCUGUUAUUUGAAUUUGGUUACCUGAAUUGUGCCUAAUAUUUGAUGUGGCCACUGGCUUUGUAUGGUUGGUUGGUGUGCUUUAAUAGUGUUUUUAGUCAAUGGGAGACGAAGGAUAAAGGUGUGGGGCAGCGAAGUCAAGUGGGAUUAGGAAUUUAGGAUAGUAGAAUUUUUGCUAAUUUAUGGGAUUAGAAAUCUUCCUUUAUUUUUGUCUUGGUGUGAUCAAUUGCAACAAAGAAUUUUCAUUAAAUUGAGGUAGUGAACCUACUAAUUUUCAAUUGUUGUUUAUCUACAAUCUUCUCCAUUCUCUUGGACCAAACAUGAAAUCCCAAGCACCAUAUCACCACAAAGCAAGCAAGCUGAAAAGCAAUCCAACAAACCCUUUUUUCAAAGGCACUUAACAGAACCUUUCUAUGUGUUAAUUGUUGUUUCAAUUAUACCAGAUUGAAAACGAGUAUAGAACCAUUGGUCAAGCAUAUGGGGCUGUUGCUUCUUUUUCUGAGGGAAAUAGAGCAUAUUUUACAACCAUAUAUUUUGUAAUCAACUCGGUUGAAUGUAUAUAAAAGUUAAGCUGUUUAUUUUACCGACACUGUUCACUCAUCUAUCCGUUUUGUUCAUUCAUGAUUAUAUUGAAUUUUUUUUCAGGUUAAAUGUGUCUUAUUCAUAUAGUUGAGGCUGAUGCAUUCAAGUGCCGCAUCAACGUACGAACAUAUUACUAGUUACUUUAGUCUAAAGAAGGGGGAGAAAUUGCCCUAUACGAAUGUGCAGCGUUUGUGUCCAAAUUUUUUAUUGCGAGCCUCAAAGCCUACACCUAAGGCUCUACAAAGGCAUAUUUCAAAACUUAUUUUGUUCUCUUCUUGCAUCACAUCAGCAAGCAAGAGCCCAACCAUACAUAAAAAAAUCUUGAGAAGUUGUGCUUAGUACUGAGGACCACCUUUUUGGAAAAAUCUUCUUCCAAACAGGAAGUCUUGCUAUCCUUAACAUCAUAAUCCACGGUGCUUUUUCUGAACAAUUAUUGCUUGGUAUUCCACACGUUUACCUUUGGAGCAAGUGGAACUUUUCUUUUAAAAAUAAAAGAAAGCCGAAUGGUGGAGAAGUUGGACGGGACAAUUGUUGCGAGUUGUUUGAAAAAAAAAAGGAAAAGAAAAGAGCACUUGCCUUUGUGGCUUUGAAAAGUGUGUGUUUGUCGACUCGCUCUUGGAGCACUUGCCUGGUGCCUUCUCAUUUAAGUAUUUUUGAAAAGUGUGUGUGUUUUGUUGACUCGCUCUUGGAGCACUUGCCAGGUGCCUUCUCAUUGAGUAUUGGAGCAUUAAGAGCAACUCCAUCUUUGGAGCUCUUCUCUCUGGCAAUCCACUAUUGAAUCCACUUUAUUGAACAGUAACUGCCUUUAAUGAAUAGUAACUACCUUUAAUGAAUAGUAACUACUAUUAAUGAAUAGUAAUUACCUUUUGCAUCUCCACCAUUGAAACCCUCCCCCUGGCAAUAGGUAAUAAAAUAAUAGUUUUUUUUGUUUGUUUAAAUAAUAUAAAAUAAAAAAACAGGAAAAUGGGGCUGUAGGGCCUCGGGCUGACACAAAAAACAAUAAAAAAAUGCCUUGGCCCUCGGGCUGCAGGCCUGUCAACAAUCCACUCCCCUUGUGCUCGGGCUCCCACCCUCACUCGAGCCCUCCAUGGUUGGAGAAGAAUCAACCGGCCCUCGGGCCCCUUCCUGCAGCCCGUCCCCCGAGCAAAGUAGAAGGCUGGAGUUGCUCUAAAACACAGGCUUUUGUGUUUUAUCGACGUAAUUGAUGGUGUUCAUGUUACACUGUGAUUCAUGAUGAUGACAUAAUAGAAAUAAUAGUAAAAUAAUAAAAGAGGUAGGUGUAUCGGCACCAUCACAGAAAUAAUAGUAAAAUAUAAUUAAAAAAAAAAACAGAAAUGGAGACAUAUGUAUCUGGAGCCAUGUGGAAGAUACUGAGAGAAAUUGCACUGUAUGAAUGUGUCUGAAUUUCGUUUUAUUCACUAGACUCUCUUACUUUAGUCUAAAGUUGGGGGAGAACAAUUGCAAAGAAGAAAAACUAAUGAAAAUUAUUUGAAAAUUUUGAGUUUUAACGAUAAGAAUAAAAUAAAGGGUAAAAUGAAUAAUAUAAUGAUUAAUUUUUAAUGUAAAAAUUUAUUUUUUAUUAAAAUAAAUAGUAUCACGAACUUUUCGUUAAAACACCCUUACAAAAAAUAAACUAACCUUAUUUACAAAGUUAUUUACGAAGUCUUCAUGUAAAUAGUAAAGACUUCGAUUAUCAGGCUUAAAAGUCUUCAUGUGCACGCUUUCCAUCCCACUUUCUUUCCCCUUUUUUUCUCUCUUACUUUGUCUCUCUGUACCCGUCAAAUCCCUCAUCCCCCCUUUUCUCACUCCCUUACCGAUUCUCUCUCGCCAUUCUCAGUCUUGCCAGCCGCAAACCCCUUGACAUCGCAUAUACCACUUGAGACCGUCGUCGUCACCGUAUGAACAAAUCUAUGAUCAGAAAUCAGAGAUGGGAGCCCCAUGACCGUCGCCUGCACCUCCGUCUCAGAAAAGUGAGCCAAGAUCCAAAAGCCGAACCUCGGAUCUUGCUGCAAAACGGUGAAUUUGGUCCCAAUUCGAAGGAAAUUUUAAGCCCAGAAAAGCCUUGGUUUCACAAUAAAAACCCAGAAACUUGAGGUACGAAAAUUUCAAAUUUUUUGAUGUUUUUUAUUUAUUUUCAGUGUUAAUUUAUGAUUAAAUUAUUAUUUUUGAUAAACCAAUUCAGAAUCUAAUCUGGUUUUACCUCGACUCCAGAGUAAAAACCUUGAAACUUGAAGGUAUAAAAAGUUAAAAUUUUAUUUUUAUUUUUAUUUAUUUUCAGUGUUACUCUCUGAUUAAUAUUAUUCUGGGUUUUGUAGAAAUGCUAUUCUUGCUGAAUACUUGCCAUGUAAGUGAUUUAAUUUUUGCUUUUCGAAUUUCUACUUUUCAUGCAUAAUUAUGAAUAUGUAGAUGAUUUGUGGGUAAUUUUUUUUUUACUUAAUCUCCAAUUCAAAGUGUUCGCGUCAGGAAUUUCCGUCGGGGAUGUUUCCUGGCCGACGAGCGCACAGCUCCCCUGGAGGUUAGCGCCGGUUGAGAACUGCUGUCGGGCUUCUGCUUCACUGUCGGGCUUUGUCGGGCAAGGCUCGUCGGGCAAGACUUAUCGGGCAAGACUCGUCGGGCAAGACUUAUCGGGCAAGACUCGUCGGGCAUGACUUAUCGGGCAAGGCUUGUCGGGCAAGGCUUGUCGGGCAAGGCUGGAAGAGAAGGACAUCGUUAACUUUGAAAUGUGCCUUUGUGGGGCCUUAGGUGUAGGCCUUGAGGCUCACAAUCAAGAUUAACGUCUAAGUACUCAGGCGUGCCACUGCCAUCUGUAGCAUGGCAUAUGUAAAAUGGAUGUCGAGUUUUAGUUAUGUAUAUAUAUAUAUAUAUAUAUAUAUAUAUAUAUAUAUAUCCGAGAAACCGUGUUAGUUAUAACAGGUGCCUUUGUGGGGCCUUAGGUGUAGGCCUUGAGGCUUCCUAUCAAUAACUAAACCAGUACUCGCACACAUAAUAUUUGUUCCAUUGACUGUGGGAGUCUUACAACUAUUAUACUUCUGAUUACCCGAAUCCGAGAGAUAGAACAGACCCAAAUAGGUGCCUUUGUGGAGCCUUAGAUGUAGGCCUUGAGGCUUCCUAUCAGAAUUCGUUCUUUGUACUCAAACAUUCUAGACCGCGGAAUGGAAUGAAUCCAAAUAGGUGCCUUUGUAGGGCCUUAGGUGUAGGCCUUGAGGCUUCCUAUCAGAAUCCAUUCCACGCUUAAGCGUUCUAUGAUAUUCAUAAUAUAAUAGAAAUAAAACUAAGGGAUAGGUCGAUCACUUGCGCCCCAAGUGACCUCGGACUUCUUGUUUAUCAAGGACUAUCGUCGAUGGGUUAAGUCCACAUAAGGUUCUUUUUUAUGCCUUGAAGUCAAAGACUUUCAACUGAUCAAAUUUGCAUGCCCGAGGGCUUAGAACUUAGAUCUGGUUUGAACAAUGAAGAUAUAUUCAAAUCGGAUCCAAGUACUGAGAGUGUCUUUUAAUAGUCAUCUUACUAGAAAUAACUUGAAUACAACUGAAAGUAUACAACAUAUUGCUAGGCUAAUGAAUAAAAAGACAAAAAGAAAACAAAAAAGGUCAGGCAAGGUUUAACCUUGUCGGGCAAGCCUGAUCGUCUUGCAGGUCCCUAUCUUUGUGGCUUUUCACGGGUCUGAGGGCUUUAGAGAGAGGUGAGGAAAAAAGUUUAAAGAGAAAUCGAUACUACAGCAAGGUUGAACAGGGUAGCAGAGCUAUUACAAAGGUUUGAGUGAAGGCUUGGGUUGACUACAGCUUCAUUUUGAAGGCAAAUCUGGCUUUGAGCAGAGUUUAUGCUUGCAUUUGUUGUUUGAUUGAGUGUCCUUAUUCCUGAUUUCUCUUUCUUCUUUUAUAGACAACUCAGCUUGGCCUCUUGUAGCAGCAGCCUUGCUCGAAGGCAACUUGAGAAGCAGUGACUCAUCAACUAUUUUACUUGUUCUGCCAUUAUAAAGUACUUUAUGGGCUGUAUAGCUGGCCAGUCUAUACCACUUGACUUUUGGGUAGGUGAGCAAGUGGUCUUCAUGAGCUGCACCAAGUCAAAAAGCCAUUUUCUGCUUUCUGGGUUUUGACUGGGCUUCGGCCAACACUCUGGGCUUCGGCCGACUCUUCCUUUAGGCAUUCUUUUGGGCCAGCCCCUUUCCUGAGCCCAAAGUUCAAGUUUUUGAGCCAAACAGUGCCCCAUUCAAUUGAUAUUUAGCCUGGAAUUCCAGGCACCAAUAUUAAUUGAAAAUGUGCAUGCGGCUGCACCCUUGUCUUUGGAACUUGUAUCUUCUAGAUGAAAUUAAUGGCACCCGGAGUCUCUUGAUCUUCUCGCAACCCUUGAACUACUCUCUGAUAUUCUUUAUAAAUGUCAGCUGUCUUAACAAACCAUCAUCGAAUUCAAUUUUCAUUCUUCCUAAGUGUUUCUUCUUUCUGAGUCUCUUCCCAAAACCGUGAAAUGAGUUCUUCAUAUUUUAAGUGGAGUCUCCUAAAAUUCCCUUUCCGUGAGAAAAAGAGUUUUCAUCAGAUAAUCGCUAUCUCCAACACCUUUGGUCGAACACUCCGCUAUCUCCAACACCCUUGGUCAGGCGGCUUCCUCACGAAGGCUUGCUUUCCUGCUUGCUACCGUGAUAAAUCUGGCUUCACCAUCACAUAUGGUGAUGGUCCUGAUUAAGGAUGCUGCACCAGGCGUGUCUUGGCCUCAUAACCCGAUCACCUGAUUGGGUCCCAUCCAUGAGGACAUCGGAAAACCAGCCGAAGAUAUCCUUGCAUCCAAAAAGAGAAUUGAUUGUAAUACAUUGGCCUUGAAUCCGUUGUAAACUUUACCAAUCUGUCGAAAUGAAAUAUACAUUAUUUUAGCAACUCUUGUCUUCCUGUCUUCUUGAAUGGUUGAUAAAUAUACACUGCACAUUAAUAUCCUGAAGCUGGCUUUGCCUUGCAUCCUCUUCAAUAUAACAAUCUCUAACAUCCCACAACGUAGGAAAAUAUUUCUUUAAAAAUUUAACAUUAAUGGGAUGUUUCUGCCUAUUUCCUUCAAGGUCUGCCAAGUAGUAACCUCCCCUAUCCAAAAUGCGACUAAUAAUGAAAGGACCUUCCCAUGUCGGGCUCCAUUUUCCAAAGCCCCUGAGCUGAGCUCCUAGAGGGAGGAUUGUCUUCCAUACUAAAUCCCCUUCCUGGAAAGACUUCAUCUUUACCUUUUUGUUAUAAGCUCAGACAACGACUUUCUUUCCUUCCUGAAUCUGGUUCAAGGCUUCAAUUCGGGCCACAUCCAAGUCUUCAAUCCCUUGACACAUGGCUUCGAUGUAUUCUUCAAUGUGCAAUCCAAAUUGAUUUUGAAUUCUGACAGAACUCACAUUGAUCUCCACGGGGAGCACUGCAUCUUGCCUGAAGGUUAAAGCAUAAGGAGUUGUCCCUGUUCCUGCCCUCUUGGAAGUUCUGUAUGCCCACAAAGUGUUCCCCAGCUUUUCAUGCCACUUUUUUGGACUAUCUAUCACCAUUCUUUUGAUAAUGUUGACCAGGAUCUUGUUGCUGGCCUCUGCCUGGCCAUUUGAUUGAGGAUAAUACGGACUGGACUGGAUCAUCUUUAUUUUGUAUUUGCUUGCAAACUCCUCAACUUCUUUUGAAAUAAAAGAUGGCCCACGAUCCGUUACUAUAGUUUCGGGCACCCCAUAUCUGUGUAGAAUCUUGGUCUCGAUAAAAUUCUUGACUGCGGCUGAAGUUAUGGAUUUCACUGCUGAUGCCUCCACCCACUUGGUGAAAUAAUCCGUUACUACAAUUAUGAAAGUAUUCCCUUUACUAGAAGCUGGAUAGAUUUGCCCGAUGAAGUCCAUUGCCCAUCCUCGAAAGGGCCAAGGCUUGACUACUGGAUUUAAAGGUACCGAGGGCACAUGCUGGAGUGGUCCGUGCCUUUAACAUUCUUCACAACCUCGGGCAUAAGACUUGCAAUCAUUUUCCGUGUCGGGCCAGAAAUAACCAUACCUUCUAAGCAACCAUCUCAUCUUCGUUCCAGCCUGAUGUGCUCCACAUACUCCUUCAUGUACUUCGGCCAUUACCCUCAUGGAUUCUUCUUGGCCCAAGCAUUUCAAUAAUAUCUCAUAUGGAGUUUUCCUUAGCAAGUUCUUCGCCCAUAAGACAUAUUUGGUUGCUUACUGUCUAUUCUUCUUGCUUGUAGGUGAAGAAGGAUCCUUCAAAUGAUGAAUGAUAGGCGACCUCCAAUCUUCUAUCUCAGUUUCUAGAACCAUUAUAUCCAGACUGAAUCCCCUUUCUAAGAUAGAAGGAAGGUUUUUUCUUUGGAUCUCGACAUCUACCCCAUAUAUUCUCUCCUGUAUUGGCACUCCUGAGGCUAGUUGUGCCAUCUCGUUGGCCGCUAAGUUGGAUACCCUGGGAACAUGAUUGACUGAUAUCUCAGAACCUCAGAAACUCAGUAAUUGCGUAGCCGCCAAGUAAUAUCCCGCCAUGGUAAUAUGUUUGCACUUGAACUCCCCAUUUAACUGAUUUAUUACUAACUCUGAAUCUCCAAAGACCUCUACCUCUACUGCCCCCAGAUCCAUCAAGAUUUCCAGACCAAUUAUUAAGGUCUCAUACUCUGCCCGAUUAUUAGUAUUUCCUUGGUAGUCCAGGAGAAAUGAGUAAUAAUGAUAAACCCCUUGAGGGUUUACAAUCACAAUUCCUGCUCCUGAAGCCUUCUGAGUAUGAGAUCCAUCAAAAUACAGCUUCCAAGGAAUGAUCCAGAGACCAGUCACUCUUCUUAUCUCUUGCUGGACCCAAUCUUCUUUGCCCGAGAUAUCUCUUCUUGGCAGGAUCCAAAUGCUAGUGACCUCCAAGCUUCCUAGGAUAUUGAUUACCUCGCUUUGAGAUUCUUGAUGCUCGGCCAGGAAGUCAGCAAUUGCUUGGCCUUUGACUGCCCUUUGGGGUACAUACUGAAAACUGAACUCUGAUAAUGCUAGAAUCCACUUCCCAAUCCUUCCUGUUAGCAUUGGCUUUGACAACAUGUACUUUAUCACAUCUGUCUUUGCGAUGAUGUGUACGUGACAAGGUAACAUGUAAUGCCUUAGCUUACUGGCAGUGAAAUAUAGAGCCAGGCAUAAUCUCUCUACUGGGGAAUAUCUUGUUUCUACCUCGGUCAGAAUUCUAUUGAGGUAGUAUACUGCCUGCUCCUUCCCGCCUUCAUUAUUUUGGGCUAGCAAACUCCCGAUUGACUUUUCUGAGGCAGAAAUAUACAGCUUGAAGGGUUUUCCCCUUUGAGGUGGCACCAACACUGGUGGAGAAGUCAAAUAGGCCUUGAUGCUGUCAAAGGCCUGUUGGUGUAGUGGUCCCCACUCGAAGUUUUCUUUAUCUUUCAAUCUUAGUAAAGGAGUCAUCGGUUGGAUCUUGCCUGCUAAAUUGGCAAUGAAUCUUCUCAAGAAGUUAAUUUUGCCCAGUAGCCUCUGGAGUUGUACCUUGUUGGUGGGUGAAGGUGACUCCAUUAUUGCCCGAGAUUUGUUCUUGUCUACUUCUACACCUCUUUGAUGCACCAAGAAUCCCAAGAAGUUGCCCGCUCUUACUCCAAACGCGCACUUCUUUGGAUUCAUCUUCAAUUUAUGGAUCCUCAUCCUUGUUAAUGCUUGUUUGAGGUCUACCAGAUGCUGCUUUUCUGUCUUAGAUUUCACCACUAUGUCAUCGAUGUAUACUUCCAUGCUCUGGCCAAUCAGAUCGUGAAAGAUGGCAUUCAUUGCCCUUUGGUAGGUUGCACCAGCAUUCUUGAGCCCCAAUGGCAUGACCAGAUAUUCAUAUGCCACCACAUGUCUGGGACACCUAAAAGCUGUUUUAUGUAUAUCUUAUUAUACCUGGCAUUCCCAUCCAUAAAAGAUAAGACUUUAUGUUUUGCUACUGCAUCUAUGGAUAAAUCGGCCAUGGGCAUGUGAUACUCAUCUUUUGGUGUAGCACCAUUAAUAUUUCUGUAAUCCACACAACAUCGUACUGCUUUUGUUAUAGCUUUUAAAACGGGUACAAUGUUGGCCAACCACUCCAUAUAUUUGGCUGGUCUGAUAAAGCCAGCUUUUACUAGCCUUUCAAUCUCUUCUUUGACCUUUUCUUCUAUCUCCUUUGACAUCCUUCGUGGUGCUUGCUUAACAGGUUUAUAUCCCUCCUUGAUGGGCAUUCUAUGUUCCACCAAGGUUGAAUCUAAACCUGACAUCUCAGUAUAAUGCCAAGCAACAUAGUCUUUGAAUUCUUGCAAAAGGCAGAUAAUCUUUGCCCGAUCAUCAACCCCCAAUAAACCACUAAUUUGUAUUGGUCUUGGAUCCUCCUCUGUCCCUAGAUCAAUAACUUCCAGAGGAUCUUGAACUUCAGGUGGUGGCUUAUCCGGCUCUGCAUACAAAAAUUUGACUAGCUCUGGGCUAUCGGGCAAGUCGUCUGGCCCAUCUAAGUCAUAAAUACACUCGGCCAUUUGAAUGGCCCUUUCUAAUUCCUCUCUGCAAGAUCCCCCAUUGCUCUCAUGUUGGCUGGUUGAAGCUUCCACCUGCCAUUCCUGCUCUUCUUUGUCCAAGAACUCCCUUUCUUGCCUUCUUCCCUUCCCAUAUACCAACAGUCUUUUAAUCAGGGAUCUGACCAUUACCUGAUCUUUCCUCUUUUGUUUAGUCAUUGAUGGUGUAGGGGAUUUAAGAUGAUACAAGGUCUGUCCCACUCUUCUCUAGUAAGGAGCAUUCCUUGUUCCAAAAGCUUUUGGGCCGUCACCUUGGUAGGGCGGCCGUUCUUAUCAUCUCCUGAACAUUUCAAGAUUCCUACGUUGGGGUUGUAGAAACUUGCUUCCGCAACAUUAGCUGUAGGGAGAAAUGGCCGUGAUUCGGCCUCUACCAUCUCCCAAAAGCCUGGUCCUUCUGUGCCCGCUUCAUGAUAAACAGCCACUUGUUGAUGAAGAGUGGAGGGUAUGGCCAGACUUUGAUGGAUCCAAUCUCUUCCGAGUAAGGCUCCAUAAGUGGAGGUGCAGUCCACCACAAAGAAUGCCAACAUGAUAUGUUUAGAUCCCAAAUCCAUUUCUAAAGGCAAUAUCCCAUGAGUUUUGGUGAUAGCGCCCGAGAAGCUAGAGACCGUGAGGUCUGUAGGGAUAAGAUCCUCCGCGCCUCUUCCCAUUUUCCUCAUUUGCUUGGCUGGUAACACAUUAACAGUUGUCCCCCCCCAUCAAUUAAAAUUCUUCUGAAGGGCACCCCUUCCAAAUGAGCUGUAACAUAUAUGGGCUUCAGAUGAUUGGCCAAUGAGUCGGGCGGCUAAACACCAUUUCGUUUGUAUAAAUCCUUACAGGAUCACCUUUGGACGCUUCAGCGGAUUCAGCCUUGCCUGAUUCUCCUUCUUCGACCAUCUCCACAUUGACAUGUGCCAUCAUUGGCUCAGAUAUGAAGUAAUCACCCUCCAUAGUAGCGGGCUAAUCAGAUCUGGCACCAAACAUGGCGGAUAAUACAUACGCCAUGUUGAUAUGAAAAUUACUAGGCUCGGGCAGAUCUUCUUUCUUGCUCUCAAUCUGGUCCAUGAAUUCAUCCAACCAAGCCAUCACAUCUACUGGAAGUAGUGGUUCUAAUGCCCUUUCUUGCCGAUCCAUGCCCGCAUACAGCGUUUGCUUUGGAACUUCACCAAAAGGAUCUACCAAUGGCAGAGAAGGUGGUUUCCUUUCAGAUGAAAUAGUUCCAAAACAAAUAGGCUAUGGCUUCCAUCCGGGAGUUGGUACUAUGAUUAGAUCUUCUUGAGCCCGCCUCAAGAUCCUAUACUUCCCAGGGUGUUGGUUCUGCGGCACGUGAGUCCCUUCGCCUUCUGUCUUGCUAUUGGCCUUUUCCACCUCUUUCUUACUUCUCCAGCCGAGCUGACUACUUCCCCCAGAUGAUGUCUUCACCAAUUUUUGAUUUUGGGAGGCUUCAGAUGUUGCGGGGGUCUUAAGGGAAUUCAUAUAGGCUUUGUGCUGCCUUUGAACUCUCCUGACCAUGGAGGCUCCCAUUUGUUUGGUAGGCUGUCCAUUCUUUCCGACCACGUACCAUUUUCGCCCGAGGUGAGUAGGAUUUCCUUUCCUCACAGGAUUUGUUAUCCCAUCAAUCCUCUUGAUUUCCUUCCCCAUAUGGCCAUAUUGAGGAUGAUCUGCAUCCCUUUGUGUUUUGGCCUCCAUAUCUUCUGCCUCUUCAGAAGCUUCAUGGUUUCGAAAUACUUCUGAUAAAGCUUUGGGUUGGGAAUCACCUCCUAAUCGUUGAAAAACGCUUCGGGAAGUGUCUUUUCUUGUUGCCCCCUUGAUCUUUUCGCGGGCUUCUCUCCUCGCAUUGGCACUUACUACACAUAACCAUCCCCUUGAUUAUGGCUGCUUUUGGAUAUUCGAGGCAAUGUGAUUACCCUUCCUGUAGGUUUUUUAGCCAGUCUUCCUUCCUCCACUUCCCUAGUGAUUUUUUCUUUUCCCUUCUCAGCCCAUGCCAUACUGAUCAUAUUUAUAGGGGCUUCUAAGAAGGGAACUGCAGGUUUGUCCAUCAUCACCUCUUCUGGCUGGCUGGUUUUAAGUCUCUUUUCCUUGGAAGGAACUAAGUCUGUUUCUUUUCUGGAGCCUGUGGAGGUUUUCUCCAAUCUUUGCAACAUCUGCAGCAACGUGGUUUGCAAAUCUUCUGGCGUUUUUUUUACAUAUAUCUUCUGAUCGAAUGUAUCCCACCGGGCGUGCCAAAACUAUGUUCGCGUCAGGAAUUUCCAUCGGGGAUGUUUCUUGGCCGACGAGCGCACAACUCCCUUGGAGGUUGGCACCAGUUGAGAACUGCUGUCGGGCUUCUGCUUCAUUGUCGGGCUUUGUCGGGCAAGGCUCGUCGGGCAAGACUUAUCUGGCAAGGCUGGAAAAGAAGGACAACGUUAACUUUGAAAGGUGCCUUUGUGGGGCCUUAGGUGUAGGCCUUGAGGCUCACAAUCAAGAUUAACGUCUAAGUACUCAAGCGUGCCACUGCCAUCUCUAGCAUGGCAGAUGUAAAAUGGAUGUCGAGUUUUAGUUGUGUAUAUAUAUAUAUAUCCGAGAAACCGUGUUAGUUAUAACAGGUGCCUUUGUGGGGCCUUAGGUGUAGGCCUUGAGGCUUCCUAUCAAUAACUAAACCAGUACUCGUACACAUAAUAUUUGUUCCAUUGACUGCGGGAGUCUUACAACUAUUAUACUUCUGAUUACCUGAAUCCGAGAAAUAGAACGGACUCAAAUAGGUGCCUUUGUGGGGCCUUAGAUGUAGGCCUUGAGGCUUCCUAUCAGAAUUCGUUCUUUGUACUCAAACAUUCUAGACUGCGGAAUGGAAUGAAUCCAAAUAGGUGCCUUUGUGGGGCCUUAGGUGUAGGCCUUGAGGCUUCCUAUCAGAAUCCAUUCCACGCUUAAGCGUUCUAUGAUAUUCAUAAUAUAAUAGAAAUAAAACUAAGGGAUAGGUCGAUUACUUGCGCCCCAAGUAACCUCGGACUUCUUGUUUAUCAAGAACUAUCGUGGAUGGGUUAAGUCCACAUAAGGUUCUUUUUUAUGCCUUGAGGUCAAGGACUUUCAACUGAUCAAAUUUGCAUGCUCGAGGGCUUAGAACUUAGAUCUGGUUUGAACAAUGAAGAUAUAUUCAAAUCGGAUCCAAGUACUGAGAGUGUCUUUUAAUAGUCAUCUUACUAGAAAUAACUUGAAUACAACUGAAAGUAUACAACAUAUUGCUAGGCUAAUGAAUAAAAAGACAAAAAGAAAACAAAGAAGGUCAGGCAAGGUUUAACCUUGUCGGGCAAGCCUGAUCGUCUUGCAGGUCCCUAUCUUUGUGGCUUAUCAAGGGUCUGAGGGCUUUAGAGAGAGGUGAGGAGAAGAGUUUAAAGAGAAAUCGAUACUACAACAAGGUUGAACAGGGUAGCAGAGCUAUUACAAAGGUUUGAGUGAAGGCUUGUCCCGAGAGGGAUGAAGGCUUGGGCUGACUACAGCUUCGUUUUGAAGGCAAAUCUGGCUUUGAGCAGAGUUUGUGCUUGCAUUUGUUUGUUUGAUUGAGUGUCCUUAUUCCUGAUUUCUCUUUCUUCUUUUAUAGACAACUCAGCUUGGCCUCUUGUAGCAGCAGCCUUGCCCGAAGGCAACUUGAGAAGCAGUGACUCAUCAGCUAUUUUACUUGUUGUGCCAUUAUAAAGUACUUUAUGGGCUGUAUAGCUGGCCAGUCUAUACCACUUGGCUUUUGGGUAGGUGAGCAAGUGGUCUUCAUGAGCUGCACCAAGUCAGAAAAGCCCUUUUCUGCUUUCUGGGUUUUGACUGGGCUUCGGCCGACUCUUCCUUUAUGCACUCUUUUGGGCCAGCCCCUUUUCUGAGCCCAAAGUUCAAGUUUUUGAGCCAAACACAAAGUGAAGGAUAUUGAAUUUUGUUAUCAUUUUUAAAUUCAAGAAAGGCAGUCUGUGCUGCCUCUUCCGUUCUGAUUUGAAGAAGAUUUCUCAAGCGGCUAUAAUUUCAUGGCAGGUUGGUUUAAAUCAGUUCCAAAAUUUGGGAUCAUUUGGGAUAUUUUUAGGUUUUUCUGUCCCUCACAAAUCAUGGCUUGCUAAAAAAACCGAAGCAGUUUAAGCUUCUUCAGCUUUUUGAUUUGGAUUGAAGAUGAUUUUUAGCCUAAAAGUCUAAUGUUCUUUGAAUCCUGCAUCUGGGAGUGUUUUUUUUUUUCCAAAGAUGUGGGAUUUGUUUUCUUCAAUUUUAAAAUAUUACAAUUGAAUUCUUUGUUUGGGUAAAAAUUUAAUUGGAUUCUGUAUGGGUUCUGAUGAGGCACUGAAUUGGGUUUGAGAGUUUUGAUAUUAUGAGAGAGGUAGGGAGUAUAUUGGGAGAGAGGGAGGUAGGUGAUUUGCAGAAAUGGAGGGUGAGAGAAAAAUGGGAGAGAAGGGGUAGUAUAUUAUAUUUUGAUUUUAUAAUUUUGGGGGUUUUGUGUUUAAACUUUUUCAGUACUUUUUUCGCAGAUAUAGCCUACAAAUGUCAAAGAGCUUUCAGUGUACAUGUAAAGCAAAAGUAUACAAUAAUUCCAAUAAUAUUUUUCUUCUAACACUGUUAACUUACUCUGUUCCUUAUUGUUAAGCAUAUAGUUUUCAGCGAUCUCUGGACAAUCCCUAUAUAUGCAUUGUAUUUGUAUAUUAGUUUCACUUAGUUGAAGGUCUUGAAAAACUUAAUUUAAUAAAUCCAAAAUGUGUUUUCCUUUAGAAACCGUUUGAUAACCAUUUGGUUUUUAGUUUCAAAUUUUUGUUUAAAUUUAUUUUUGGGCAUUUACGAUAACUUUACUUUAGUAUAUGUAGAUUUAAUAUUACAAUUUAGUAUAAAUUUAUAUAUUAUCUUCUUCUUAGGUUCUUCAAGCAUUUAGCUUCUUAGAAUAUCAUUUUUGAAAAAAGUUGGAGUAGUGCAUUUUAUAGUGUGGUUGAAGUGGGAUUUUUGAGAGGGAAGACUAGUGGAUCUCUGAAAAGGAACUGGGUGGAGGUAAUACUGAAUUUAAUAGAGUUGGGUGUUUUGCAAGCAUUGAACAAAUUUUACAAACACUGAAUUUAAAAAUUGAAUAUACAAAUAAAAUUGUAGGUCAAAUUCAAUAUUAGUUCUCUUAACUUUUGUUUAAUAGAUUUAUACUAUUAUAGGUUUAAUGAAUAUUAUUUUUAGUUGAUAAUUAAUUGAUGAUUUUGAAGUGUGUAAUAUCUUUUGAAAUGUAUAUAAAAACCAAGCUGCUUAUCUUACCGAUCUCGUUCACUCAUCUAUGCCUCUGUUCAUUUAGAAUUAUGUUUAAUUUAUUUAAGUUAAAUGUGUCUUAUUCAUGCAGUUAAGGCUGAUGCAUCCCGUAGCAACGCGCAAGCAUAUUUACUAGUUGCUUCUACACUCAGACGCAUUGUCAUUCGUCACCACUCCUCAUUCCAAAGUCAACUGUUAAUUUGUGAACAAGUUAAUACUUAGGAAUCCUGUAGCCUGUCGAACAUUAUUUGAAACUCUGUUGAAACAAUCAUCUGUUUGCAACAAUCAUCUGGUUGGCUUCGAUGGCUAAAGAAGCAGCAGCAGCUGCCUCAUCUUCUUCUCCUUCCCGUUGUUUCACCAAUUCAUGGAAAUACCAUGUAUUCUUGAGUUUCAGAGGCGAGGACACGCGCUACAAUUUCACAGGCCAUUUGCAUACAGCUUUGUGUCAAAAAGGAAUUAACACCUUCAUGGAUGAUUAUCUUUCAAGAGGAGAAGAAAUAUCAACAUCGCUCCUCAAAGCGAUUGAAGAGUCGAGGAUUUCUGUCAUUGUAUUCUCGGAAAACUAUGCUUCCUCAAGGUGGUGCUUGGACGAACUUGUUAAGAUCAUUGACUGCAAGAAAUCAAAUCAACAAAUGGUGAUACCGGUAUUUUACAAGGUGAGUCCCUCGGAUGUUCGAAAUCAAAAGGGUUGUUUUGGAGAUGGACUUGCUGGCCUUGUGUGCAAAUAUAAGGAUAACGUUGACAAGAUCCACAAAUGGAGGCCAGCUCUUUCAGAAGCAGCAAACUUGUCUGGGUGGACUCUCUUGGAUAAGUAUACAUUAUUACUUUAACACUUCCUUCUGCUUUUGCUUGUUUCAAUUUCUCUACACUUUUGGUAUGUAUAGAUUAAAAUUUUUUGUGAUAGGAUCAAGAAUCAAAAGACCCAACAUGUCAUCAAUUUGUGGCCUUGUCAUCCAUUUGUGCAUAUUUGGAGUCCAAAUUUAGUGUACAAAUUAGUGUCUCUAGCAUACUUUAUCCAAUCUUCCCAAACUAUAAAAAAAAUAUUGGUUUGUAAAUAUAACUAGAAGGAAAUUCUGUUCUACUUUUGUGUGCAUAUUUUCUUCCCUCUUUUAAAAAAACUUGCGAAAAUGUCAUUUAUAAGAUGUUCCUUGUGAUUUUAUACUUGCAGGCAUGAAGAUGAAUCGAAAUUUAUUCAUAACAUUGUUGAAGAGAUUUCCACGCAAGUAAUAAACCGUACAUAUUUGGAUGUGGCCGAAUACCCAGUUGGAACAGUUUCUCGUGCACAAGAAAUAAAUAACCUCUUACAUGUCGGGAGAAAUGAUGUCCGUAUGUUAGGUUUAUGGGGGACUGGUGGAAUUGGUAAAUCAACAAUUGCCAAAGCUGUUUAUAAUUUAAUUUCCCACAAAUUCGAAGGCAGUUGCUUUCUCAGUAAGGUUAGAGAAAGUUCAAUGACAGAAAAAGGAUUGGCCAAAUUACAAACGACACUUCUUUAUGAGAUUCUAGGGGGAAUCAAAUUGAAGGUGGCCAAUGUUGAUAAAGGAAUCACUUUAAUUAAGGAAAGAUUAAGCAGUAAAGGGAUUCUCUUAGUUCUUGAUGAUGUGAACGACAUGAAACAGUUACGAUGCUUAGCUGGGGGAUCAGAUGGUUGGUUUGGCAUGGGUAGUAGAAUUAUCAUAACGACGAGGGAUAAGAAACUGUUAACUACUCAUCAUCAUAAUAUUUCGAUAUACAAGGUGAAGGAAUUGAACUAUCAUGAAUCUCUCGAGCUCUUCAGUUGGAAUGCCUUCAAAAGCAAAGGACCUUUGGAUGGUUAUGCGGAACUUGCAGACCAUGCAAUGCGGUGUGCUCAAGGCCUUCCAUUAAUUUUGAGAGUUUUAGGUUCACAUUUGUACCGUGAAAGGAAAGAUAAGUGGCAUGCUAUAUUAGAUGGUCUGAUCAAAAGCCGAGAAAUUCAAGAUGUUUUCAAGAUAAGUUAUGAUGCAUUGGAUGAAAUAGUGAAGGAAGUUUUUCUCGACAUUGCGUGCUUCUUUAAAGGGGGAAAUGGUAGCUAUGUGAUCGAAAUAUUAGAAGGAUGUGAGCUCAACCCCAAGCAUAGCAUUGACGUACUCAUACAGAAGGCCCUCGUAAAUAUAGAUCAUGGUUUUAUAUGGAUGCACGAUUUGGUAGAAGAAAUGGGUAAAGAAGUAGUUCGCCAACAAUCGCCCAAUGAUCCAGGAGAGCGCAGCAGAUUGUGGUUUCAUGACGAUGUUUAUCGUGUUCUGACAGAAAAUACAGUAAGUUCAUUUGACAACAUUUUAUUUGUUAACGAGACAUGCAUUUUGUUUUAUAAGGAACUUGCAUUGUUAAUACCUUUGAAUUUUCAUACUAGGGAACGAAAAACAUUACAGGCAUAAAGGUGCAGCUGCUUGAAUCGGAUAAUGAGAUAUGCUUAAGUCCUACAACCUUCUCCAACAUGAAAAAUCUUAAAAUUUUCAUAAACUGUAAUGGACGGUUUUCUGGAGCCGUUGAUUACCUCCCCAACAACUUAAGGUUCGUUGAUUGGCCUGAAUGUCCGUUGAAAUCUUUGCCGCCCAAUUGUAAUCCGAAGAAUCUUGUUCUACUCAACAUGAGGAACAGCCAUAUCACAGUAUUCGGAGAGGGAUUUAAGGUAUAUACGUUGAUCUUUUUUCUUUCUGUUUUAUUUAAGGCUAAAGAGUCUUUUUUCUGUGUCCCCUUUGAAAUGUUUUCAUCCCUUCCUCUCUUUUUUUCUUCACAGAACCUGACGAAGCUGACUUCUAUAAAUUUAUUUGGCUGUCAAUACUUAACAAGAAUCUCCGACUUCUCCGGAGUUCCAAACUUAGUGAGGUUGGAUCUAGGAUUUUGCAAAAAUUUAACUGAGGUUGAUCCAUCAGUUGGAUUUCUUAAUAAACUUGAAGAACUAAGUCUUCAGAACUGCUAUAACCUUACAGUGUUUCCAACAACAAUAAGCUUGAAAUCUCUGAGAACUUUUGAUCUUUGCGGUUGCAAAAAGUUUGAGAUAUUCCCGGAAAUUGUGGGCAAAAUGGAAAGCCUAAAUCGUUUGGAACUUUAUGGUACUGCUAUAAAAGAAUUGCCUCCAUCAAUUGAAAAUCUCACCGGGCUUGAAACCUUAGUGUUAUUAAAAUGUGAAAACAUUGCAAAUCUGCCGCAAAGCAUUUAUGCGCUGCCCCGUCUUGGAUAUCUUAAUCUCAGUGGCUGCCCAAAGCUUGUUACACUCCCUCCGGAGCUUCCAAUUAACUCAAACAUUUCACGUGACAACUUUGGGUCAGUAGCAUUUCCCAAUCUAUGGACUAUACGUUUUGAUGAAUGCAAUUUAUCGGACUUUGAUACCCUUGCAAAUUUCUGUUGCUCAUCUAAAUUAGAAAGAAUUAGUCUACGUAAUAGCAAUUUUGAUAGUCUUCCUGCAAGCAUUAACAAAUUUGUGUGGUUGGUGGAACUUGAUUUGUGUGGUAGCAAGAGACUUAGAGAAAUUUUAGGACUUCCACCAAAUAUAAGACGGAUUAACGUUGGUGAUUGCAUAUUGCUGGAAAUAUUUCCAACAUUGUCAGAGAUGAUACUGGUAGACGGAGACAUGAGACUCAUUCGUAUUAUGAACAUAUCUAAUUGCCCAAGGCUAUGCGAAAAUUUGGCUUUGGACGUCUCCAAGAUGGCAAGCGUAUUACUGCAUCAGGCACUUCUCUCUCUCUCUCUCUCUUUUUUCCAUUUUUCCACUCUUCCACUAUGAACGACUAAUUAACAUUCAUUAUAUGAAUCUUACAGGCGGGGAAAUGCUGGGAAGUGCUAAACAUUAUACUUUCAGGCAGUGAAGUUCCAAAUUGGUUCAGUUGCCGCAAGGACGUACGUGUGGUUACAACUGAUCCUGGUUGUAUAUGUGAAAUUUUUAUUGAAAUCCCUCGGACUUUCAAAUGGAAAAACACAGGACUUGUUUUCUGUGCUGCUUUCAAAAUCACGCAAAAUUUUUCUGGACAAUGCUUUUUUCAUACAAGGACUGCAGUCAAUGGAGUACCUAUAAAUGACCCGGCUCACAUAAAGUCAGAUGCAGCUCAUGUGUGGCUAAAAUAUAUUCCAUUACCGGCUCACAUAAAGUCGAAGGUGGAUGAGGGUGGUGAUCAAUCAAAGCCGUAUCUGUGUCGAGUUAGUGUUUACCGCUUAUUUGGAAUAGGGUCGCUCUUAAAUGGCUGCGGUGUCCACUUGGGAAAUUUCAGUAUGCCCGAGGAUGGUGGUGAAGAUGAUGACGAUGUAGAAGACGAAGAUGACGACGAUGUAGGAGGUGAUGACGAUGAUGGUGAAGAUGUUGACGAUGUUGCAACAUUUUCAAAUCUCUAAUCAUGUUUUUAUGAUGGUCAUUCUUGUUUUGAAAGUUUUUCUUCUGCUAACUCAACAAGUGUGGGGUUUUAUACAAAGUGCAAAUAGUGAAACCAUGAAAUAUAAACUGUAUUCAUUUUGGUCAGGUUUCUGACGUGGGACUUCACAUUCUUCAACGCUUCCAAGAAGGCCAUUGAUAUACGAUUCCUCUCUUCUCUCUUUUGUGUUUAAGGCAAGGAUUUGGCUCCAUUUUAACGCUCUCUCUUGUUUUUCUUCUGCUAGUUUUCAAUUCUUAGAAUUCUUUGUGAUUUUCGUUUACAGAAAAAUAAUCUCCAUAGCUACGGCUAGGAGAGAAACCUAUACUAUAAAAAUGAAUCGAAAUAGUGGAAUUGCAUAAUUGUAUAUAGGCGGAACCCCAAUGCUUUAAUGCUAUUUGGAGCAUAUGGUAUCUACAAAACAAGAUGCUGUUAUACCAUCUGCAGUUAAUGGAAUAGAAUUCCAUCUUGCUAAGCAUUUAAAAGGCCACAGAAAUGUUUCCACAGGAAGUCAACCGAGUGUUUGCAGAUUGUAUAAAACAUCAUAUAGCUGGUUGUGUUUAAGGAACAUCAACAAUGCCAACAAUUACGAUACAACUAUAUAUAUGUUGGACAAUUUGAGCAUUACCCCGCUAAUCCAAUCUGGCUUUUACGACGAAAACGCCCCAAAGUUUGUUGCAUUUCCAGAUCAGGCAUCAAUCCUAUUUGGAUCAUUUCUUCAACAAGCCUCGAAGCUUCACCGAUUCUGUUAACGUUUAUAUAGUCGUUGACCAAGGUUUUAUAGGAAGCAAUAUCAGGCGCAUAACCCAUAUAACGUUUAUUCCUUCUUAGUGAGUGAAUAAAACUGUAAGUGCUCCAAUUUCUUUCACAACAAGAGGAGGAACAAGGUUGUCCAAGUAGCUUCAACGCUAUGGAUUGGAGACUAGGUGUAGAAGCUCCAUGGACAAUCCACCACAUUACUGGUUCCAAAUGAAACCUAUCAUUCAUAGAAUCAAUAGCUCCAAAGUCAUUCAAGCACAUAGAGAAAGAGGCAUACUCCACAUUGAUACUUCUUCUAAUUUCCUCAUUGGAAAAGUAUCUCUCAAAACACUUUUUCCUUUCAGUUGUAAGCUCAACAUCUCGGUGUGGAGCAAUCUGACUAGGGUCUUCUUGGAGCCAUUCUGAACUAUAAUACCUAAAAUAAAAGAAUAGCACUUUAAAAAUAUAAUCAUAAAGCUAAAGAUUAAUUUGGAAGAGUUUAUAAGGAUAUUAGCAAAAUCAUUACCUUGGAUUUAAUGAAUGCGCCAAACAAUGAAGUGGUGUGCUACUUUUAGUCCAUCACUCUAAUAAAAUGCGAUACACCGCAUCAAAAAAGCUGCUUUUUUCAUGUAAUGCCUUGCGCUCAUUCCUAUAGAUAGCAGCUUUCACCUUUUCAAUCAUAACAUCCCACCACUCAUACACCAAGUGAAGACAAGGCUUAUCUGUGUCAGCCAUUCUAAUAGCCUCAUAUAUUGGAGCUGUAAAGAAAAGAAUAUAAUCAAUCUUCUCCCAAAAGUACUCAUCCAAUAUUUUUUGCUUCACCGUCAUUGCUUUAACCAAAUCAUCUUCUUUGUACAAAGCCCAAUUCGGGCUAAUCACCAUUUGUUGUAAACCUUCCUUUACUUCCUUAAAUCUUCUAAGCAUCACAAGUGUGGAAGCAAAUAUGAAAAAUUUUAAAAUUAGGAUAGCUCAUAAUUGAAUAAGAAAAAAAAAGGAAAAAAAGUGGAGAAAACAAACCUUGUUUCGGCAAUGGAGAGCAACUUUAGUUUGCAAUGUUCAUUAAACAUAGACAAUCUCAUGCUAUGGUUCAUAAUAAAAUUUUUUAUGGACCAAACAUCACUAGCAAUAGUUGAAAUCCAAUUGCAGUCAUCGUACGAAACAUCUGUUUGUUUCGGAGAGCAUAUACUCUUCAAAGCAAGAUUAAGAGUGUGAACAACACAGGGUGUCCAAAAGAUAUGGGGAUAGCGGGCCUCAAUAAGUAACCCAGCAGCUCUAGAGACAGGAGCAUUGUCAGUGAUCACUUGAACAACAUUUUCAUGACCAAUUUCUUUAAUAGCUUCUGUAAGGAAGUUGGCAAUACAAUGCUUGUCUUUAUAUUCACCUUCACAAUUAAUUGGCCUCAAGAACAUUGGCCCGCUUUCACAAGUUGCCAUAAUAUUAAUAAGUGGUCUCCUUUGUGCAUCUGUCCACCCAUCACUGCACAAACUUACACCUUUAGUGCUCCAUGUGCGCUUGAUUGGUUGGAGGCAUUGCUCAAUGUGACUCUUCUCUUGUUGCAAAAGAGUAGUCCGUAGUGCAUUGUAACCUGGUGGAACAUACCCUGGAAGUGUAGAAGCUCGAACAUAUGAGUUUCGAUAGUGCGGAUUUCUUGCAAGGUUAAAUGAUAAGCCACCUGUAUAAAACAUCCUUGCAACUUCAGCAUCACACUGAUCUCGAGCUUCCUUGUUAAAAGCUUUACUAAGAGGCACACUUGUUCCCUUUCUCUUCUUUGGAUCAAGAUUCACUUCGGGUAGAUCAUAACAGAAAGAACCAGUAUUGGGCAAAGAAACAUUCUUAAGAGCAGAACUCUUCAGCUUAUAUUCACACUCUCGAAUUAACUUUUUCAUUUCUGCAAGAUUUUCAUCAGUAACCUUGCUGCAAGGCGCGACCCCGUUUCCAGCCAUUUUUAACAAAUGAAACUUGACCCUAGAGUAUGAUCCUUUGUAAGUUUUCUGACAAUAAUUGCAUUUAAAUUCAGCAUUCCCUCCUCCUCUUUUUCCCACUUUUUCGAGCUUUUUGACAUACUUCCACAACGGAGUAUGAUAAUUUUCAACAAUCUCAUCCGGAUUAGCAUUAUCAUCCGGAUUAGCAAUAUCAUUCGCAUGAUUAUUAGGGUGAUUCAUUUUCCUAAAUCAACAAACAUAUAAAGAGUAAUAGUUAAUCCACUGUAAAGACAAAGUUAUUAUAAUCUAAAUAUCCAUACCACUACACAAUAAUAUAUUAUAAUAUACAAAAUACAAUAAUAUUAUAAUAACAGAAAAAGUUAAAACAGAAAAGCAAAAGUCGUCAGAUGGACUAUGGGGAAUGGAUGGGUAUUAUUAUUAUAAUAUUAUAUUAUUGUUCUUGGGGAAUCAAAUUGUCUUGGAAUGAGUAUUAUAAUGUUGUUGUCUUCCAAUGGGUAUUAUAAUAUUGUUGUCUUCGAAUGGGUUGAACUUGAAACUUGAAUCAGUAAAGCUGAGACCUGAGACUGGUUAAAAAAACGAAAGCUCACCGGUCACCACCACUCACCAGGAGUUGCAGACAGAGACGAAGGAGAUGACGGAGCAGUUGUAGACGAAGAAGAGGGAGACGACGGCGCAGUUGCAGAUGGAGACGACAGGUCACAGAACAGUUGCAGAUGACGGGCAACUGGGAUUCGUGAAAGUCUCCCAAGCAGAGUGAUUUCUGAGAGGUAAAUCCGAAUUUUAAUUUUUUUUUUCUGAUUAUCCUCUGAUUUUAGAGUGAUUUCAGUUAACUAAGUUCGAUCAAACACGAUUCUAUGCGGAUUUUUUGUGAUUUUUUUUCUGAUUAUCCUCCUAUUUCAGUUUCAAAUGUAUCCGAAAAGUAGGAUACACGUAUCUGGACAGUACGAUACGCGUAUCUCGUUAGUCCCAACCGUAUCCCUUCACUCCAAUACGUAUCGGACGCGUAUCAUCCGCGUGUCAGAUACGGGAUACGGUCGCUUUCUCCCGUGUCCAUGCAUCGUAGUCCACCCGGUUCAGACGGCACAAGCAAUUCAGAAAAAUAUUCAUUGUACAGACAUCAGGUCGGAAUUGAGCACAACCCAUCAACUGUUUACACAUAGAAACCACAGCAAAAUGCUCCUUCAUCUUGGAGAGUGCCCCAAACAAACAAUUGAAAGUCCAAAUAGAGGGCAAGGGUUUGGUUUGAAUCAUGGAAUCGAAGUAACCCAAUGCUUCAUCUUUCCUAAUCUUUCCAGAUUUGCAUCGAGUUUGAAUCAAAUUGUCCGAUUCCGAAUGGGUUCGUUUAAAUCUAUCUGUAGUAAUAGCAUUAGCAUUACCAGCAGCGGAAUGAAAUCCAUCUUUUUGUGCAGAAAGGUAAAAAUGGAUGAAUGAUUACUUGUUGAGUUAGGAAGUCGUGUGCUUAUCUUCUUCAUCUUCCACAGAUUCAGCCCAGUUGUUAGGACCACAUUGUUUGGGGGCCUAUUAGCUCUCUCUCUAAGCCGAUACUUGUUAACCCACAACUAUGUUUUGCUCAAGGCCUAGCCUGUUUGGAACUAGGGUUUCCUUUUCAGUUGAAUAUAAAUGAUGUAGUGUAAUUUGUAAGACAUAUGAAGAAUGCAAUGUGUCUCAUUUCCUUUUAAAUGUCAUUACUCUUCCUUUUUCCUGCACUGUUUCUUCGAUUUCAGAGCCCAUCGAUUCGAUGGGCAAAAACACCCAGUCUGCCACCUCUUUUGAUCCCAAUGCGGUCGCCGCUGCUAUGGAUGCUUGCCAGGAUCACCUUCGAACCCAAGUUGAGGGUCUCUCAUAUUCCAUUGAAGCCCUUGAAACCCAACACCAAAACCUCCAGAAAUCAUUCGACCUCAUGACCACCUCCAAUGCAACCUUCCAAAAUACAGUAACCUCACAGUUUGCAGCAUUUCAAACACUCAUGCUCGACGAAUUUCACCUUCUCAAAUCUGGGCUUCCCUCCCUUCAAACCACCACAACCCUAACCCUACCCCACCCCCGUCAACUACUCGACCAACCACCACAGCUAGCCGUUCCCUCUUUGCACCGCUGACAACUACAUAUUCAAGCUUGGGUCUUUCUCACCCCCUCACCCAGUCUUGCUCCAUUGCCCCCGUACGUGUCCUUCACCCGCCCCACCCCGUCCCCAACAACUAUAACCAGUCACCCGGUUUUUUCCCAUCACCCAUUCCCAUCGUCCUCUCUUUUUCUUUUCCCGAACCCUUUUUCCCCUAUCCCAUCUCAACCCCACUUUUUCCAUGUCUUACCUUUAACAGCACCAUUUACCUCCCACACUCAACCACACACCAUACCCAACCAACAUUACUAACCUUCUACUUUUAAACCAAUAAAAAUGGAGUUACCACAUUUUAAUGGAGAUGAUCCAUAUGGAUGGCUAGCCAUGGCCGAAAGAUACCUGGACUACUAUGAGGCCCACCGAAUUAGUGGGUUUUGGUGGCUGCCUGUAACUUUAGGGCGGAUGUCUCUAUUUGGAUGUGAGGGUUCGAACAACGGUAUGGCCGAGAGAACUGGAGUCUAUUUGUGGACUUAUUGCUUCAACGUUUUGGGGGUGGUGAUCGAGCGAAUAUUGAAUCACAUCUCACUCACAUUCAACAAAAAGGCACUGUGGAUGAAUUCAUUGCCGAAUUCACCAAACUGUCUUAUAGGGUGAUAGAUUGGAUAGAAAAUCAGUUGAAACAUGUUUUCCUUGGGGGAUUACGAGAUGACAUUUGUCACGAUGUCCUAGCUCUCGAACCUGACUCCCUCCACCAAGCCCAAAGCUAGCCAAAAUCUUUGAGACCAAAAACCAAGCCAAACGUUAUACCCGUCCCCUUUUCCCUCGUCCUUUCCAAUCCUCAUCCUUUUCGAGACCCAUUAUUCCUACUAUUCCACCACCUGCCAUACCACCUCCCCACCCACUUCAUCACCCCACGGCUCCCUUCAAACGUUUAACCCCAGCCGAGGUUCAAGAUAAAAUCAGAAAAGAAAAAAGUGUUUUCACUGCAUAGAGCCACAUGUCCCUGACCAUAAAUGCAGGAACCCCAUGAUUGUAUUGUUGGACAUUGAUACCCUCGAGGAUAACUCCCAUGAAUUUCAUGAUUGUAACCCCGAUGAGGAUCAUCCUAUUGAUCCCACGUGCCAUAUGCUCAAGCUAUUCUCUAUACCGAACCUUGGAAUGGGUUAUCCCAUGUGAUUGCACGGUUCUAUCGACUCCACAUCCAUCAAAGUUCUCAUUGACUUGGGGGCUGCCUGCAACCUCUUGAGUGUCGAUAUUGCCCAGCGUCUGUGGUUACAAAUUGAACAUAUUCACCUAAUACUGUUUACCACGGCUUCUCGCAAACAGGUUACCACCACCAUGAGAGUGCACAAUGUAGCCGUAACCCUACAAGAUUACACCCUAGUUGGUUCCUUUCUCCUACUCAACAUCCCUGGGUAUGGUUUAGUUUUGGGGGCUGAAUGGCUAAAGUCCCUAGGCUUUAUUGGCUGGCAUUUCCUGAACAAAACCAUGUUUUUCACAUCAAUGGGCCACACUUACACCCUUCAAGGCCUUACUAUAGCCCAACCCAUCUUUAACCCGUGCCACUCAACCCAACUUCCAGAUACCUCUAACCCCCCCACCACUUCACCCCAAAUUACCCACCGACACACCGCUUUCCCCACCCCCUAAUACCCACCUUGCAAUCAUCUUCCUCUUAUCCCAAUACAAACACCUAUUCUGCCUUCCUUUAGGCCUCUCACCAACCCGACUAAUAGACCACAAGAUUCCAUUACUCCUAAAUACCAAACCCAUCAACGUACGCCCAUAUCGUUACCCCAAUUCCCAGAAGGCUGAAAUUGAGAGACAAGUGCAAAACUUCAUUUCUUUUGGUGUCAUUCAAAACAACAACAACCUAUUCUCUUCCCAUGUCCUCCUAGUAAAAAAGAAAGAUGAGUCAUGGCGCCUUUGCAUUGAUUAUAUAGCACUAAACGAUGCUACCAUUAAGGAUUGUUUUCCAAUCCCGGUGGUGGAUGAGCUCUUGGAUGAGUUACAUAGUGCUUCGAUCUUCUCCAAACUCGACCUACGUUCCGGUUACCACCAGAUACGGAUGUGCACGGACGACAUUGCCGAAAUUGCAUUUCGUACACACUACGGUCACUUCGAAUUUAUGGUAAUGCCAUUUGGUUUAUCCAAUGCACCAUCUACUUUUCAAGCUCUUAUGAACUCCAUUUUCAGUUCGUACUUGCGUAAGUUUGUGUUAGUAUUUUUUGAUGAUAUACUUGUGUAUAGCCUAUCUUUGAAUACUCACUUAUCCCAUUUGGAGAUUGUUUUCCAAGUUCUUUCCACUAACAACCUGAAAGUGAAGCUCAACAAAUGCUCUUUUGGCCAAAACAAAAUAGAGUACUUGGGACAUUCUAUUUCGGGCAACGACGUAUCAGUUGAUGCUUCCAAAAUCCAAGCCAUAAUUGACUGGCCCUAACCGACAUCCAUCAAAGGUCUUCGGGGAUUCUUAGGACUCACCGGUUACUACUAUAAAUUUGUUCAUCACUACGGAUUGAUCGCAAAGCCCCUGACCACAAUGCUUUAGCACGACAACUUUACAUGGACACCCGACUCCAUUGCGGCCUUCACUAAGCUCAAGCAGGCUUUGGCAUCCACUCAAAUUCUUGCCUUUCCUGAUUUCAACAAACAGUUUGUGGUCGAAACAGAUGCUUCAAGUGUGGGCAUAGGCACCGUGUUAACCCAGGAAGAUCAUCCCAUCGCUUAUCUUAGCAGAGCAUUAUCUGGCCGCAACCUUGCUCUUUCCACAUACGACAAAGAGAUGUUAGCCAUUGUGUUUGCAGUACAACAUUGGCGACCAUAUUUAUUGAUUCUUUUCUGGAAUCAAGCUGCAAUUGAAAAGAAACUGACUUCAAUUGGUUCUUGUUUCAAACCCUAAUUCUGUAUUCUGAAAAACAACACCCUUGGUGAAGAGGAUUUUGCUUGCAACCUCAAAAUCUUGUGUCAAUGACAUAAAAAUAUAUGCAACAUGAAUUUACAGUGUUAUACUCUAUAUAUCUAUAUAAGACUAAAAAGGUGAAGUUUUUAAAAAGUUCAUAAAUACCGCUCAUUAAUUUUUUUUUUUUAAGGAAUACAACUCAAUUAAAAAGAUAAAAACUAUAAAAAUACAAAAUAAAACUACUUCGCGCACAUGAGUGGUCUUUUAUCACAGUAGUGAACAUGUGUGGUGCUAUUGCAUGACGACGUGAAUUCGAACUCUGUCGGGAGCUCAUCUCGAGAGCUAAUCUAACAUUUAACUUACUAAUGAUAUUGGUCUACUUAAAAAAAGAAAAGAAAACUACUUAGUUGAUGUAUUUUAUUUUUUUUCUUUUAAACAAUAUAAAUUUUAAUUUAAACUAAUAAAAUAAAUAGAAAACAAAUUGUCACACGUGUAAACAUGUGACAAGAGGACUAGCAUAAAUGAAAUGAGAAGGCAAAAAAAGCGAAACUUUCAUAAUACCUAAAUUGCCCUUUUUCUAUUAGGAAUUUCCAAACAAAAAAAAUUAAAAAAAUACGUAGUGGUAUUGUGAUUGGUUUGUAAGUUCAUUAUUUUCCAAAAUAUAUUUUAUUACACCAUGUUAUUGUGUACUUAUAUAUGUAAGUUGCUUUUUAAUGACUUUUUUGAGUCACUGACACACCCCGAUCUCGAGAAUCAAGGCGUGCUGGCCGUCACGUGAGCGUGACGUAGCCAAAAGUGCGACACAGAAGCAAGACAUAAUAAAAUAUGCAGGGAAUUUAAACCAAUCACUAGCAGUAAUAACCUACUAGCAUAAAAGAGUGAGUUAUAAAGUAAAACACACAAAUUCAGAGCGUAGGUCUCAAGUGCAGUCAAGUAGGACUAUAAUUAAAAGUACAACACCCGCAGGUGAGUCCUACAUGCAGAACGUCUGUCAGAAUGCCGAAAAAAGACCUUGUGAGCCACCAACUGCUAACUAGAACCUGGAGGGGCGCAAACAAAGAUGAGUGGGUCAGUAAAACCAAAGAUUUUCCAAAACAUUUCAUUCAAAACAUUUAUAACCCCUCACCGUAAAACAUGUAUACUUUCCCAGAAAAAUAGUAUAUAAACAUAUAUAUACAUAAAUCAUCAACUCGGCUCACCAUCUAUCAACACAACAUCUCAGAAAGAAUAUGCCAUGCCAUGCCAAAAUAUAAUAUGAAUGCAUCGAUAUAAAUCAGGUGAAAUAAUAAAUCAACCGGAUACCCUACAGUGGUCCUGUAUGGCUGAUUCUAUAGCUCAACAUCCCACUCAGCUGGAGUCACCACAGUGACCUAUACGGCCCAACUCUGCACGUCACUCGGAACUACGUAUGGUAGUCUGUACGAUGAAAGGUGUAUAAAUACGCUUUAGUGCUUCUCUCAUCAAUCAUCGGCGCGCAUAACUAAGGUCACCCACUAGUCGGAAUCACAUCUAGUGAUCUAUACGACUAGCAUGUCGGAACCCUCACAUGGUCUGUACGACAUCCACCUACUUGGAUCCAAGGCGAGCGUGCGGUGUGGUGAAUAAUAUAAGCACUAACACCUAGGGUGCAUGUUAUGAGCUUUCAAUGCAAUUCACAUAAAAUAAAUCGUAUGAAUAAUGUAAAAACUCACUUGUGCGUCCACAUCGUCAAUUCACAUAUAUAUACCUCAAUUAUCAAUUCAAAUAUCUCAACAAUUGCAUGCAUGUCAAUUUAAAACAUAUAUUCAUAUAAUUGCAUUUUCUGGGAAAAACAUUAGUAUAUAGAUAAUACGAAAACAAAACUGCCCACUCACUGGUAAGUCGAUGGGUCAUAACCCCCGUGACGUCCCUGGAUGCGCUCAUCCUCGGGAUAGGUGUCACCUAUAUGCGAAAUAACUAUAAAAACGUUAAUUUAAACACAUAACCAACAAUUCGAAAUAACUUCUUAUACGAUGCUCAAUUUGGGUAUAUGAAUAUACCACAUCGACCUACUCGACGUCACGGACGUCGAGAAAUUUUUAGAAUUAUUUUUAGGCUUGUCACGCGCCCCCACGCGCCAUGGGUGGCACGGACCUACGCGCCCCCACGCGCGUCAUCUUCCUCAGCCAGUCGCCAGACUGGUUUUUCCGGUGGCCGGAUUCCGGUGAGUUUUGUAAUUUCUUGUUCUCCUUCGUUUCUCAACCGUUUUCUUCGAAUUUUAUAUCAAAAUGAAGCCCUAAACAUGUAGAAUCACGAUGGACAAGUUUCAAGGUCUAAAAUUCACUAGAUUUUACCUGGGGAAGCACGAUAGUUCGGAAAUUUUAAGAACCUCCGUUCUCGGUCCUCCGACGUCCAAAUAUCACCAACGAAGUACCCCGAAGCUCGUGAGGAUGUCCUUAAGCUCACUGUGAGCUUGAAAUUCCCUGAAAUGCAAGAUUUCACAUGUGCAUGAACAUUGCACAUUUUCGGGGUUAGGGUUUCACAACGAUUCUGAGGGUUUCACUUCCUAAAACUAGUACCAAUCGACUCAGAACAUCACAAGGAUGAAGAAUCAUACCUUAUUUGCUUCGAUCCACGAAGUUUUGGAGGGUUUUGGUGAUGUCUGUAUGUUCGAGGGUGAGAGAGAGUGAGAAAGUCGUGAGGGAGGAGAGAGAGAGAGGCACGGGGGAGAGGUAGAGAGCAGGGAGUGUGUGUGUGUGUGUGGUCCAACACCAAACCACAUCAUCAAUUUUUCAUCUUAAUUCCCUAACCACACAACAAUCCCACAUAAGCAAAUUCCAAAGUUCAUAAAGUUUAAGUCUAAUUAAUGUCACAUACACGCAUACCUUAAUACCCGUCAAGGGUAAUUCAGUCAUUUCACGCUCCCGAUAAGAAAAUCUCGGGACGGGCUGUGACAGUCACACUAAAACGAUUUAGGAUAAUGUCAGGGAGAUCAAACUUUUUAAAUCAAAUCACCAAAUUACUGCGUACUUAUCCAACUAAAUUUUUUUUGUUUCAUUCUAAAACUAUAAUUUUUGUUUCACAUUCUAAACCCCGAAAGUAGUCAAGCAAAAAAUAACAUUGAGUAAUCCCCCAAUAAGCAAAGCCAAAUCCAAGAAGCAUAACUAAAAGUUCUAAGAUGGGUACUAGUUUAACCAAAAGGGGGUGAAUAGGUUCCAAGUUAAAAAACCAAUUCAAUUUUCAAUUUAAUUUUCACAACCACAAUACAUAUCAAAUUAUCAUACUUAUAUGCAGUUAAAACAAUAAAUAAAAUGUGAACAGGAUGUAGGAUUUAACGAGGCAAAACCCACAAUUGGAAAAAUCCUCGGGCUCUCAAGCCAGGACAAACACAAAGAGAAAUGAAUUACAAAACUCAUCUUGCUAGACACUCAAUUAGAAGGCAGUUUUGUCUCCACGCCUUUGCUACUCGAUCUCUCUUCAACCUUUGAGUGGAAGUGGCAUGACACUAAUGGGCCGUCAAUCAUUGUCUCCUCGAACUUUGCAGGAUACUAACGUGAUCAUGCAAAAUGUAUGUAAUGAAAUGAUUUUUGGAAAUCAACCAAUUAUGAAAAUCACAAGGCACAUUUUCAUAAUUGAUUUCUAAUCAAAGCGCAUGAAAAAUCAGUGAACAAAAAUUAAUAUUUUCUUUGAAAAACACUUGGCAAUAAAACUGAUUUUUCUGAAACGAAAAUAAGUCUACAUGCUGUGCAGAGUACGGUGGUGUAUUUCGUGAUUCUCAAGGUAUUAGGUGCUUUUGUAUUUUUCCUUUUCAACUUUAUUUGUAAGAUAAUGUCAGGAGGAGAGCAUAGGACAAGAAAAUAUCAUCGUCCAUGACUCCCAAGUCGAUCCUAAGAAGCAUCGUCAUUCGUCACCACUUCUCAUUCCAAAGUCAACUAUUAAUUUGUGAACAAGUUAAUACUUAUGAAUCAUGUAGCUUGUCAAACAUUAAUUGAAACUCUAUUGAAACAAUCAUCUGGUUGGCUUCAAUGGCUAAAGAAGCAGCAGCAGCAGCUGCCUCAUCUUCUUUUCCUCUUCCUUGUUUCACCAAUCCAUGGAAAUACCAUGUAUUCUUGAGUUUUAGAGGCGAGGACACGCGCUACAAUUUCACAGGCCAUUUGUGUAGAGCUUUGCAUAAAAAAGGAAUUAACACCUUCAUGGAUGAUUAUCUUUCAAGAGGAGAAGAAAUAUCAACAACGCUCCUCAAAUCGAUUGAAGAGUCAAGGAUUUCUGUCAUUGUAUUCUCCGAAAACUAUGCUUUCUCAAGGUGGUGCAGACAUCAGGUCGGAAUUGAGCGCAACCCAUCAAUUGUUUAUACAUGACAAAAGGAUCACAUUGAUUUGUGACACUUAUUUUUAAGGACAACAUUGACAGCAUCAGAGUGAAAUGCACUACUUGUAUUCUGCAAAAUGGUAAAAUGGUAAAAUGGAAAGAAGGAAAAUUACCCAGAGAUGGAUGUCUUGUGGGUAUCCUCUUCAUCUUCAUCUUCUGUUUCAGUUGGCUACACAAAUUCAGCAUAUCUCACUUCUUUAAACUAGUCACUUUGGGGAAGAGGAAAAAACAAGGAAGAAGGUAUUUAUGUUGGGCUCGGAAAUAUAGGGCCCAAAUUAGUUGACUACUUACAGAUCACGUGCCAAGCAAACAAAGAACAAGAGGAAACCUAUGUACUUUAAUUAUUUCGAUUUUAUUUCGGAUUUUCAAUGUUAAUUUUACAUUGUGAAUGUCCAAUGCAAUUUUUUAUUUAUAUUAUUUUCGAAUUGAUGAAUAUUGAUUGGUGGUGUAUCGUGUUUCUCAAGGUAUUGGGUGCUUUUGUAAUUUUCCUUUUCAACUUUCUUUGUAAAAUAAUGUCACUGACAAGAAAACCUCCAGAGUAGAAAUAUCCACAGAGCUCAUAAAAGCGAUUGAAGAAUCGAGGAUUUCUGUCAUUGUGUUCUCAAAAACUAUGCUUCCUCAAGGUGAUGCUUGGACGAACUUGUUAAGAUCCUUGACUGCAAGGAAUCAAAUCAACAAAUGGUGGUACUGGUAUUUUACAAGGUGAGUCCCUCGGAUGUGCGAAAUCAGAACGGUUGCUUUGGUGAUGGACUUGCUCACCUCGGGUAAAUAGCCUAGUGGUGAGGGUGUGGGUAAGGGGUGGGGUAGUUCUAGGUCCCAGGUUCGAAACCUGGUGUGUGUGUUUGUGUUUGUGUGGGUGGUGGAGGGUAACAAAAAAAAAAAAAAAAAAAAAAAAAAAUAAGGAUAACAUUGACAAGAUCCACAAAUGGAGGGCAGCUCUUUCAGAAGCAGCAUACUUGUCUGGGUGGACUCUCUUGGAUAAACGUACUUACCCUUGAUCCUGUUAUUCCAUCUUCAGUUAAUGGAAUAGAAUUCCAUCUUGCUCUAAGCAUUUAAAAGCCCACAGAAAUGUUUCCACAGGAAGACUCAACCGAAAGUCUGCAGAUUGUAUAAAACAUCAUAUAGCUGGUUGUGUUUAAGGAACAUCAACAAUGUCAAUAAUCAGGAUACAAAUAUAUAUGUGUUGGACAAUUUGAGCAUUACCCUGCUAAUCCAAUAUGCCUUUUAGGACGAAAACGCCCAAAAGUUUGUUGCAUUUCUAGAUCAGGCAUCGAUCCUAUUUGGAUCAUUUCUUUAACAAGCUCCAAAGCUUCACCUAUUCUGUUAACGUUUUAUAGGAAGCAAUAUCAGGCACAUAACCCAUAACCACCAUUAAGUUCAAGAACGCCUUCGCCUUAUCCAUUCUGCCAUGCAAACAAUAUUCAUUAACCACCAUACUGCAAGUUAUUGUACCAAGUUUCAUACCGUAUUCAAUUGUUGCCUCAAAUAUUUUGUGAGUCUCUUCUGUCAUCCUACCUUUGCAGAUAGCAUCCAAAAGUAUUACCAAAGUAACGGUAUCAGGCAAGAGUCCCCGGCCUACCAUAUCAUCAAACAACCUUGUGGCUUCUUCCCAUUGAGUUGUACGACACAUGCCAUGGAUUAAACUGCUAUAAGUGAUAACAUCAGGUGCCAGACCUCUUUGAGUCAUUAACUCUAACAUACUGAGGGCUUCCUCCGUCCUCCCCUCCUUGCAAAGAGAACUUAUCAUAUUAUUAUAGGUUCUAACAUUUGGGGCAAUACCUUCAUCCAGCAUUCUAUUAAACAACCUUGUCGCUUCUCUACAUUGGCUGGUCUGGCACAAUCCAUUAAUUAAGGAGCUGUAAGUCACAACAUUAGGCUUUUCCCCCUACUGAUCAUUUCUUCCACAAGAUUCAGUGCCUCUGCUGUCUUCCCUUCCUUGCAUAAAGCAUCCAGAACAGCACUGUAUGUAACAAUAUUAGGCAAGGCUCCAUAACCAAUCAUGGUUUUGAAUAACCUCACACCUUCCUCCCAGUUACCAGACUUGCAUGAUGCAGAAAUCAAGGAAGUAAAAGUGACAACAUCAGGCUUUAUGCCUUUCGUUGUCAUAUUUUCCAACAGAGUAAGUGCUUCUUGAAUUCUUUCUUCCUUGCAAAGACGGCCGAUAAGAACAUAUAUGUGUAUACAUCGGGCGAAAUUCCACUGUUAAGCAUGCAAAUCAAGAAGCUCUUGGCUUUUUCAAACCUCCCCGAUUGGCACAUCGCAUAAAUUAGAGUGUUGUAGGUGACAACAUUAGGCUUGACUCCUUGAUCUACCAUUCCUCCAAAAAGAGAGAGCACUUCUUCCCAGCGGCUCGUGUUGCAUAACCCAUGAAUCAAUGUGGCAUAACUGAAAACAUUCGGUACAACAUUUUUGCUGAUCAUAUCUCGAAAUAGGGUCAAGGCCUCGCCUAUUCGUCUUUCUUUACAGAGGCUAUCGAUGAUGGGAUUGUAGCAAUCUUGGUUGGGCUUCAACCUUCCAUCUUCCCACAUCUUCAUUAGUAUCUCGAGUGCCUUAGAAGUUUUCCCAGCUUUGCAUAACCCAUUAAUUAUUGUAGCAUAAGUGAUUUCAUCGCAUGUGUAUCCCUUCUCUUCUAUUUCCUGGAAGAACUCCAUUGCCUUGGCUAGAGAACUAUUCUUGCAAAGUCCAUGGAGCAAAGUAUUUAUAGAAUGAGCGUUGGGUUGAAGACCGUAUUUAAGGGUAAUUGCUAAAACAGAGAAACCCAAGUCCAUCCGGUUAAGACGGCACAUGUAAUUCAGAAACAUAGUCAUCGUACUGACAUCAAGUCGGAACUGAGCGCAACCCAUCAACUGUUUACACAUAGAAACCACAGCAGAAUAUUGCUUCAUCUUGGAGAGUGCCCCAAACAAACAAUUGAAAGUCCAAAUAGAGGGCAAGGGUUUGGUUUGAAUCAUGGAAUCGAAGUAACCCAAUGCUUCAUCUUUCCUAAUCUUUCCAGAUUUGCAUCGAGUUUGAAUCAAAUUGUCCGAUUCCAAAUGGGUUUGUUUGAAUCUAUCUGUACUAGUAGCAUUAGCAUUACCAGCAGCGGAAUGAAAUCCAUCUUUUUUGUGCAGGAAGGUAAAAAUGAAUGAAGGAUUACCUGUUGAGUUAGGAAGUCUCGUGGUUAUCACCUUUAUCUUCAUCUUCCACAGAUUCAGCCCAGUUCAUGAAAUCCUAUGAAUUUCAAUCCUUCUCUGGAAUCAAGCUGCAAUUGAGAAGAAACUGACUUCAAUUGGUUCUUGUUUCAAACCCUGAUUCUGUAUUCUGAAAAACAACACCCCCAUGCUGAUGACAUAAAAUAUGCAGUUGUAAAAUCGACGGUGGGUGCAGUGGAAUAAAUGAAACAAGACACAAAAUUUAUGAGGUUCCUCUACAGUCAGUGUGACUGGAGUACGUCCUCGGGGCAGCUGUGAUGCUUUCAUUAUAAUCUGAAAUAAUAGGAGUACAAAGAUAACUCUCUCUAUUAUCUCCUCUCAUCUUCCUCUAUUCUCUCUCUUCCUCUUCCUUCUCUCUCUUCCUCUUCCUUCCUUCCUCUCUUUCUUUCCCGUGAACUUCACUCACUUCAUUCAUCUUCUUCCUUUAUAUAAACAAAAGAAAGCACUAUUCACUUUACAAAUUUUCCACAAAUGAAUAGUGAAAAUACUGUGCAUAAAUAGUAACAAACUAUUCAUGUGGACCAUCCACAUAAUAUUUACAACACUCCCCCUUGGAUGGCCACAAGUCUUCGAUUGACUCGUUAAAAUCUUGAUCUGUCUUGGAUGCUCCCCGUGAUGAGUAUCUCCCCCUGAUCUCAAAUCAUUUAGGUUGAUCGUUGAUUGUUCUGCUUUAGUCUCUUAGUAAGAAGAAAUGCUAAAAGAGUUGCUUUACUUAUUGUUAACUUUCCACAGCCUUUUUCUUGAACUGGGUUGUAGGACUUUCUGCUAGACUAGCAUUGAAGAUCGGAAUUUACUCAUUUUAUCUGGAGCGGAAUUUGAUUCAAGAGUAAUGAACACUUGAUCUUGAAUCGGACUUGUGAUUUCUUCAAGGACCUUCGAUGCUUGAUCUUGAAUGAAAUUGGACCAUGAGGAGCUUCAUGUGGCAAGUGAUCUUCAGUUUUGUCAGGGAUGAAUCAGCACGCGUUUGUUGCGCUUGUCUCCACAUGCUUCAAUGUAUCAUUUUUACUUUCCUUACUUGCUCCCCUUGCUUAAGUAGUAUUUUCCCUGCUUUUCCCCCAUGCAUGUGUGGCAUCUUCUCCGGCAGUAUUUGCCCUCUAAUGCCGGAGUGGAGUGCAACCCUUGCAUUUGGAUGGUUCAUCACUUCUUGGUGACUGGAGACCCAGCUCCAACCGUUGAAGAUGACUACUCGAGAGCAACAUUAGGUAAGCAAUCAGGAAAGGUUCCAGGCAGUCGGUUCCUUACCGGGAGUUUAAGUGGAGGUUUCGACAUAUUGCUUUCUUUAUCCUUGUCUUCGCAGGCAAAGAACAUGGACAAAGGAAAGGACAGGGAGAUUGCAUGAUAUGAGAUAAUCUUGCUCUGGUCCCUGAAGAUAUGUGAUAAUCUUGCUCUGGUGUGACAUGUUUGAAGAGGUAUUCUCGGAGAGGAAGAAAACUGAGUAUUUCGAGAUGCUAUGUUGAAGAUGCAUUCUCGGAGAUGAGGAAGAGUUAGGUAUUCUUGCAGUGUUGUGGGUCUGCCUUGUUAUGGAGAACAGAGGUCGACAUAUAUAGAGAUUUCUCAAUAGCAAGUGGUGGUGCUGUGCUUUUACUCUUGUCAGCAACUGUGGUGUAAAUAGAACAGUAAGAUUUACGCGUUUUCAACUUUGUCAGAGAUCUUUGACAAAAUUGCACGCGACAUCUGAAAAAGUUGGGAUUACGUCUGAAAAAUACCAACGAACUUUAUUCAGGAAAAUCUGGCUUUUGAAAUUCGGAGAGCGGUGCCUCUUCGAUCUUUGAACAAGUGGCUCUACUGCCUCUUCUUUUAUAGAGACAUCAAUUGUGUUCAAGGGUAUGCUCAGAAAAUUGCUGCCUGAGAAAUUUCCACCUUCUUGCACUUCUGAAAUUUUAUUUGACCUCUGUUUUUCCUUCAUCAUUUCUGAAAAAUGACUUGCCCAUCUAACAUUUGCUUAGAUUUGAGUCUUAGGAGUGAUACAGACGAGCAGUGUCAGGAUAAUAUAUGGCGCCCGUCCUUCUUAUCUUCUAAUGGUCCUCUUACGGUUGGGGACUCUAUGAUGAAGAAUAACAUAACCGCUACUGUGGUAGCUAGGAAUCUUCUCACUCCAAGGGAUAACAAGAUCCUUUCAGAACGGUCUGAAGAGUCGGCCAUUCAAGACUCCUUGGCUCUCAGUGUUCAGUGUGCUGGCUCUGUGUCCAAUAUGGGCCAACGCCUACUUGCUCAAACUCGCCAAGUUGAAUCAUUGAUGGCGGAGGUGGCAAGUCUUAAACAAGAGAUCAGAGGGCUCAAGCACGAGAAUAGGAUGUUACACGUGCUUGCAAAUAGUUACUCUACGAGCAUGAAAAAGAAAGCUCGUCCAACUGCAGGAAUCCGAAAGUCGGAUUCAAAGUGAUCACCAGAGGUUCGUUGCUAGAUUCCGAAAGCAACUGAUGCCUUCCCCUUCUGGUGUUUUGCUAAGUACUGGGGUGCCACAUGAUCAAUCUCCAGUGCCUCCCCCUUCUGGGGUACUUCCGAGUACUGAGGCUUCACAUGAGCAACCUUUGUGAAGGCUCCAUCCUGUUUGUUUGUUUUAACUCAUGUGUAUGUAUAUAUCUGUAAUUUCUUGGAGAUAUUAAUAAAUAAGCUUUAUUUCAUUCAAUGUAUUGUGCCAAAUACAAUAAAGCAUAUACUUCACUAAGAUGUGGUACUUCUGGACCAAAUAUUAAUUUAUCUUUACCCUCACGAAGAUAAAUGAUUAUUCUUAGUGUCUUCAUCAUAUGAGUAUUCAACUCAUAAUCUUCAAUCCAUAUGGUUCUUUUAAUAUCAUAAAUAUCAUGGAUAAGAUUCGUGUUGGUAGAUUGUUCGAUCUGCAGCUCGAGACAAUAAUUCCUUCAACACUUUAUAUAAUUUUUCUAGACUCUUCAGGAGUCCCAAUUUAAUAUCAUCAACUCUUCAAGAGUUAUAAUUUAAUGUCAUUGACUCUUGCAAGAGAUUUUAGUAUGUUGCAACAAUAUCAUAAUGAUAGUACUCACUAAGGCAAUUUAUAUAAUCCAUUGGUAUUGAGUACAUAUUUUAUGUUUUUACCCUUCAGAGGCUUACUUCAAGCAAUUUGAAUCCUUCAAGGGUUUUCUACACUUCAUGAUACAUUUUCCUUUGGAAAUUAUACACAGAGCAAUUCGCUCCCAUGUAUACUUGAGGGAUUUACUUAUGGAGAUAUGAUGUGGGCGACUCACAACCCUUCGUAUAUAAUUCUCCAUUUAUAUGAACUCGUUUACAACCUUGUGUCAUAUCAUGUAAGUGUAUUACACUGUAUUACAAAUGCCCAUAUAUAACCUCCUUGGUUCAACAUCUUUUGGCUAUUUGUAUUGUAUUCAAAUAUAUAUAGGUUUCAUUUGCCCACGUUCUUACAAAAUUGUAAUGGAAUUGCCUUUCUCCAUUUUGGCCAAUAAUUUUUCUUUUGUCGACGAACAAAAAGAACGUGACUCAAUAUUAACACAGUUCAUUGAUGAAUUUAGUAGCUACUUGUAAAAACCAAAAUUACCAUUGGUUAUCAUCAAUCCGUGAUCCCAUAUUCUCAUGUGCAUGCGCAUGCAUAAAAAGCUUUUCAUUUCUUUGGAUAUCCAUUGCCUCUUCAAGGGCAUGACGCUAUCUCUUCCAGGAUAGUCAUAAUUGAGAGAAUGUGGAUCAUAACCUCCUCUUGAGCGUUAUAGAGCUUGGAUUUUCUCCACUUCCGGGAGUUGAGUCUUUGGAACCUAUACAUCUAUCAUGCUACAUGCAUGAGACAUCAAUAUUCCCAUGUCUGUGGAUUGUCCUAUCUGGGACGUAUAUCCAUGCGGCGACUGUCAUGCUUCUGGCAUGCAACAGUUAUGCUUCGGGAAUGCAAUAGUUCAGUAGUGCCAUAUUAUUCUUCUUUCGAAUAACUGAACCUUUUGAGUCUCAAAAUCUGCCACGCUUCAGGCGUGCAACAGAUAAAUCAUUUACUGUCUCAUUAUUUUAUCCAACAGAGACAUCAAUUCUUGUAGGCACAUUUGCAGUAAGUAUAUAUGAUUUCAUCACUUUCGUUGUAUCAUUCAAUUAUCCAUAUUUCAUUUUCUCAUUGAUUGCUUCGUGAAUCAAAAUAAGACAAAUUCUCUUCGUUCUUCUGGAACGGUCUUUUCUCAUCAUUCUUUUGGAAUGAUAUUUUCUCAUCGUUCUUCUGGAACGAUAUUAUUUUCUCCCCCUAAUGGCAGGAAAAUUGUCUUAUCAAAAUGACAGUCCGCAAACCAUGCGGUAAAACAUAUCCCCAAUCAAGAAUUCCAAAUAUUGAAUGAUAGAUGGUGUUCAACAUCAAUGCCUAAUCUGCAAUGAUGCCUCAUUUCAGUACGUUGUGGCAGUCUUACAGGCACAUAGACAACACAACCAAAAACUCGUAAAUGUAUAAUGUUUGGUUGGUUCUAAACCCGAGUUAUACUGAGAAGUAUUGAUGGUCGGUAACAUGUCUCAACCGAAUUAAUAAUGCAUCAUGUAAAGUUUACAUGUCCCCAUGUAGAAAAUUGGCAAUUUCGUUUUCAUGAGCAGAGCGCGGGAAAUCAAUUUCAUUCGAUUAAUAAAGGCUUCUGCUAACCAUUUUGAGUAUGGACAUAAGGAACUUCUGGUCCUUAUUUAAUAGUCUGUAAACUGAGACUCUUAUGGCUUUUAUUACAAUUAAGUUAAGGCACUGCGGCACUUCAAACUUACGGUACUCAUCUAGGAACUUCAUGUCCUGAUCUUCAGGAUCAAGGGACUUCAUGCCAGAUCCUUUUGUAUGAUGGAACUUCGGGUCCAAUCAUUUUAUAUGAUGAGGAUCAAGAAACUGCAGGUUCUGAUCUGAUCAAGGAACUUCAGGUCCUGUAUAUACUCAUAGUAACAAAAGAUAAGUACAAUAAAUAAAUUAAAGCAAUAGACGGUAAUUCCAGCCAUAAUGAAUAAAUUGCAUUUAAGUAAAUAAAGCUUGUGACAAGGGCUUUAAUUCAGCACCAUCAAAACUUAAAGCAAUAGGCGGUAAAACCGUCCAUGGUAAAUAAAUUGCUUUAAAGUAAAUAAAGCAUGUGACAAGGGCUUUGAUUCAGCACCAUUCACAUAAAUAUCAAAGCUUUAAAGCAAAGGGUAAUAAUUCUACCCACUAUAUAAUAAAUUGCUUUAAAUAAAUAUAGAACUUGUGACAUGGGCUUUAAAACCAACACCAUGCACAUAAAUAUGCCAAAACAGAAAAUGCAAUGAUUAAGUCCUCAUGUUUUGCUUUUUCAUUUUCUUGGUCUGCCACUUCUUUUGUUUCAUCCCUUUUAUUUUUAUUAUUAUUUCACAGUUCGAAGUCAUUUUGGUUACUCAGUAAAUAAUAGUAACAAUAAGUUCCAAUUGGUGUUCCUCUUCCGGUGAGUUUCGAAAAAGUCGAAACGAUUCCCAUAAGUUUUGGAGUCAAGAGUGUCUGCAACUUAUGAGAAGAUCAAACCGUUAGAUUUAGUUCAAAAUUUAGUAUGAUAUGGAUAAGAGGAUACCAAACAACUUUCGUGAAGAAACAAUUUCGAUUUGAACUACCGAAAUGGAGUUUUGGUACUCAUAAGGUGGCUGCCCAGUUUUCUGCGGAAAUUGGAAACGGGUUUGGUAUUUCAGACAUCUGCGACGAUCGCACCGUUAACAUUUUCUGAAAUUUUGAUAUGUUGUAGAUACUGAGCAGACGAACAACUUUCAAGAAGAAAGUAUUUCAAUCCGAGGUCCGCAAGUUGGAGUUCCGAGGCUAUUUACAUGGCUGUCAAAUUCUCUUACAAAUUUUGAGUCUUUUACUCUUUUGCUUCUGCAAAGGAUGAUAUACAGUCAUAUAACAAUAUAUAUAGUUGCUUCAAGAAAAUCAAUUGUACUGAGAUUUGAAGAUGAAAUGAAAUUUUUUUCUUAUCUAUGAGAUUCCAGCUGGAGGAGGUGAACAGGAUUUGUGGCGUUGUGUGCUUUCCACUGACAUGAGAGCUUCUCGUGCUGAUAACGUGUUGUAAAAUCGACGGUGGGUGCAGUGGAAUAAAUGAAACAAGACACAAAAUUUACGAGGUUCCUCUACAGUCAGUGUGACUGGAGUACGUCCUCGGGGCAGCUGUGAUGCUUUCAUUAUAAUCUGAAAUAAUAGGAGUACAAAGAUAACUCUCUCUAUUAUCUCCUCUCAUCUUCCUCUAUUCUCUCUCUUCCUCUUCCUUCUCUCUCUUCCUCUUCCUUCCUUCCUCUCUUUCUUUCCCGUGAACUUCACUCACUUCAUUCAUCUUCUUCCUUUAUAUAAACAAAAGAAAGCACUAUUCACUUUACAAAUUUUCCACAAAUGAAUAGUGAAAAUACUGUGCAUAAAUAGUAACAAACUAUUCAUGUGGACCAUCCACAUAAUAUUUACAACAGCAACAUGUAUUUACACACUGUUAUAAUCUAUAUGUCUGUAUAAGGGUUUAGGGUGUGGGUUCAAAUUCCGUCGGAGGGUAAUCUAACAUUUAACUUUCGCUAUUGUAAACAUGUGACAAGAGGUCUGGUAUAAAUGAAACUAAAAGAUGAGCACACACUUUGUGUGUGAACAAUUCAUUUUCUUUUUGUUUUUGAUUAAAGAGUGUGAUUAGUUUUUAAAAUUUUUAAAAAGAGUAUGAGACAAUGAUGAUGUGGUCUCUUAAUAAGGGCAUAUUUUUCUUAAUAUUACAUAAUUACCAUUUUGCCCUCUUUAUGUAAAUAUUAUGUAUAAAAAAUGAGGAUAAAAUAGGAAAAUGGGGAUAUGAUUGUCAUUUUCUCAAAAGAUACAAAAUUACUAUUUUGCGCUUCUCAUGUCAAUAUUGUGUAUUGAAAAGUGAGGGCAAAAUUGGAAAAAAUGGGGAAAAAGUUGACAAGGGUCUUCUCUUAAUUGAAUAGAUGAGAUGGCAAAAAAGGUGAAACUUUCAUAAUACCUAAAUUGCCCUUCUACUAUUAGGAAUUUCCAAACAAAUAAAGGAUGGAAAAAAAUGUAGGGGGAUUGUGAUUGGUUUGUAAGUUCAUUAUUUUCCAGAAUAUAUUUUAUUACACCAAGUUACUGUGUACUUAGGCCAUCUCCAACCGAAGGAGGGUCAGAGGGCUCGUUGUACCCCUCUAGCUCUCCAAGAAAUUAAUAUUUUAUUGAACAGUGUAAGGCCAUAUCGCUUACCAUCUCCAACCGAUGGCCAAAGGGCCAUAGGGCCAAAUAUUGCCCUGUGAUAAAAAAUCAUCUCCAACCGAUGGCCAAAAUGUCAUAGGGUCAAACAUAAUUUAUUAUUUAAAUUUAAAAACUAUAACAACUUAAAUUUAAAAAUUACAACUUAAACUUAAAUUUAAUGUUCUUUAAUGUUGUUUAAUGACUUAGGAAGUUAUAGGGGAAAAAAUAAAAUUUUAAUUUUUUUUUAAAUUGUAAAAAAAAAAAUCAAAUAUAACAGCUAGCCGUUGCAUUCAAAUUUGUGGCUUGGCCCGGGGCUAGCUGGCUGGCUGGGUUGGGCCAGCCGGCUCGCCUUUUUUUGUCCCGUAGGGCCCACGAGCCUUUUGGCUAGGUCCUCGGUUGGAGACGGUUUUCAAUCUAUUUUCGGCCCUUUGGUCAUCUAGACAUGAGGUUGGAGAUGACCUUAUAUAUGUAAGUUGCUUUUUAAUGACUUUGUUGAGUCACACUAAAACGACUUAGGAUAAUGUCAAGGAGAUCAAACUUUUUAAACCAAGUGUACUUAUCCAAUCCCUAAAUUUUUUUGUUUCAUUCUAAUACCAUAAUUUUUGUUUCACAUUCUAAACCCCGAAUGUAGUCGACCAAAAAAUAACAUUGUACAAUCCCCCAAUAAGUAAAACCAAAUCCUAGAAGCAUGACCAAAGAAGUAUUAAAAAAUCAAUAUCUUGAUCGAUGUAGGGCUUGUUUGAAACUGCUUUGAAAACAUUGUCCUCAGAAUCGCUUUCAAUUAUUUUAAAAGUUGAACUCGCCGCAAACAAGUUCACUUCUAGAAUUCCGCAAAUGUGUUCACCUUGCUGUGACUAAUUUUGAGUUUGCUCCAUAAGUUCGUUGUUUCUUGUUUUCAGCAGAUUGUUCUAGGAGAAUGUUGCUGGCUGAAGCACAUAAUUCAAAGAGCAAACAACUUCAUCAUCAACAUCUAAACACACACACUGAAUGAGUUGUGCACAUUAUUAAUGCAGCGAAGGAUUCCUAAUCAAAAGGAAAUCCAAGUACAUAUAGAGAAGCUAAAACGCCUAGGACUAGGACUGCGUAUGAAUCUCGGUUUCCUUGACAGAAGCAGAUGACGCGAUGGAGACGGUGGUGGAGUUGCACAAGGAGAUAAAGUAGUAUGUGAUAGAUUUGCAGAUAAAAGUUAGAUGCAUAUGCAUGAAUAACAAAUCUCACUAACAUCUGAGAGUUCCAAUAUAUAUAAACAGAGUAGAGACCUAUAAUACCUUGUAAAAUCAACAGACUUGAAUCAAUAGACCAUGCCAGUUCAUAAAGCAAUCGACAUAGCAAUAAGAGCAGACAAAUGGAUUACCGAAAGCACAAGUCAUCGAUGCAGUUUGAAAGAACUAUACAACUGAAAUCCCUUCUCUUGCUCAGCUUCAUUAUCGAUUACCUAAAAAUCAAAGUAUAAUUUGAACGCCCGAGCAAACAUAACUACAUUACUUUGAUCCCAAGGACAGUACCUCACAUGGAUAUAAGUAGCAGGAAAAGAUACAAUUACAAAAGAUGUAUUCGACAACACUAGUGGCGUUAAAUCUAGGAGAAACCUAGUCGUGCGGUGACACAUAAAUUGGGCUAAAAGCUCAAUUCAAUAUAUAUAUAUAUAUAUAUAUGUCAAUCUCUGAAAGCCAAACACAAACUAAAUCAUCAAAUUAGUUUUGGCAUUAAUUUGCAAAUAUGCACCGCACCAUCCACAUCUUUACAUUAGAAGCACGCAAGGAUGCAAGAUAAAAAGAAUAACGAAGUGCUUUUUCGUACUACAUCAUUAUACACUAAAAACAAUAACGGGCUAAAGAAGAAGCUCUUGAAUCAGAGUGGGGAGGAGAACCAUACUAACCUGACGCCGCUUACUCAGGGCUCCGCAGGAGAUCAAGGUCCAGGUCAAUUUUAUAAUUUUAUCUGCUGGUCAAAUCCCUCGAACAAAAAGGAUGUCACUUAUACAUCAACAACGGUAAUGCUAAUCCUCCUCUUUUCAUACGUGCAAAAAGACACACCAGUACAUGCAUGUAUUACUCAUUACAAGCGAGGUCAUACACAGUAUCAUACUAAAGGAAGGUGGAAUGCCAGAGUUACAAAAAGACACACCGGUACAUGCAUGUAUUGCUCUCGGAGUACUUAUUUCUUUAGAAUUAUAGAAUAAAGGACAGCAAGAACAAAACUAACUUCUUCUGACACGAACCUAGGUCAGAUACGCCCAGCCAUAAGGAGCUUUAAGUGGAAGGUAGAAGUCACAGUACCUAUAAAAACGGCUUGAUUUCACAUUCAUAUUGCCAAAACGUUAUUGAGGGAUAAAGAAAAUUAUUCAAUUUAAACACGAUAGAUCAGUCAAUAACCAUACCUAAUUGAACAAAGUACAAAUCGGAGUGCAUUACACAAAUUUCUAACCUAUACAAUUCCCACGACACUGCAGACAUUCAUACAUACAGAGCAGAAAGCAGUUUCUUCAAGGUAAAGCGUUAUCCAUCGAGAAUGUAUUGAUCAUCUUGAUUUUCUCCAUCAACCCUAGCAUCAUCAUGAACCAAUAUAUUUACAUGGUUACUAGCACUUGUGAUAAAUAAUGGUUACUAGCACUUGUAUGAUCAGACUGUCCAACUGGAUGAGCAGGCCACUGAGAGACAAUCCCAAGUAACUGGCUUGUAAGGUUUUGUUGCUCGUGAAGAAUACGAGUCUGCAUCUGGCCCUUCUCGUGAAGAAUACAGUUUAUUGCUCCAGCUUCUGGUUUCAAUAUUUUGUUCCUUCAUUGCUCCAGCACUGUUCACGAGCCACGCGUUUGUCUGUUUCUAUACGAUGUCGACGCGUUGGUCUGGUUCCAGAAGUUCUCGACCCUUCCUUUUUUAUAUCUGUUUCACAAAAGCUUUUCUUGUAUAACCUGUAUUUAACCCGGUCCAGUUUCCAACGUGGAACUUCACAUUCUUCAACGCUCAUCUCUCUCUUGUGUUUCCCGGACCCUGGUAAGAACUUUGAUUUUCUUCUUGCAAAGGUGGACAAGAAAUUAACUCCGCCUAUGUAAGUUUAUCUUACAUUGCCGGUCCCAAGCCCGGAUAAAGGAGGAGGGGGAAGGCGUCAGGUAGUCGACAGCCGGCACUCCAUAAUUACGUCGAAUCCUUAUGAACAUGAAUCAAGAACAAAAUCGCGCUAAAGCUAGGGCGUCACCCGUAAGUGGCGCACUGUGUGGCCCGAGCACAGUGAUAAGUGAGCAAGGGUCGCUGUAUCUCCAUCGACACCCGGAUGCAGUGUUAAAUGAGCAAGGGGGCCAUAGAAACUUCUUUUCGAACGACUCCACUCAAAGUUGUUUGGGAGCAUAUGCUCCUAUCAACUUUACACGGGACACACAAAAGAAGUACUUUGUUCCUAUUAGACAGGGGAGGGUGAAGAAGCUAGGACAGAAUGGUAGAGUUCAAGAGAGUAAAAUGCGUUUAGGAACGUGGAAUAUAGGAACCUUAAUAGGAAAAUCUAUCGAAGUAGUGGAAGUUAUGGUGAGGAGAAGGAUAAAUAUUAUGUGCCUACAAGAAACUAAGUGGGUUGGUCGUAAGGCAAAGGAUCUAGAAAACUCAGGGUUUAAACUUUGGUAUUCGGGCACAAAUAGAACGAGAAAUGGUGUUGGCAUCAUCGUGGACAAGACCUUGACACAAGAUGUUGUAGAUGUCAAGAGGGUAGGAGAUAGAAUCAUGGCAAUCAAGAUUGUAAUAGGACAAGAACUUAUCAAUGUGAUUAGUGCGUACGCACCUCAAGUAGGGUUGGAUACGAGUUCGAAGGAGAAAUUUUGGGAAGACCUUGGAGACUUGGUGCAAGGAAUUGCUCAGACGGAGAAGAUAUUUAUAGGAGAAGAUUUAAAUGGACACGUGGGCAGGGAGAUAGGCAACUAUGGAGGUUUUCAUGGUGGCCAUGGUUUUGGGGAGAGAAACGAGGAUGGGUAAGCUAUCUUGGAUUUUGCAAUGGCAUAUGAUCUCUUCUUAGCCAACACCUUCUUUAAGAAGAGAGAAGAACAUGUGAUCACCUACAAGAGUGGGUCGUCAAAAACACAAAUAGAUUUUCUUCUAAUGAGGAAAGGGGAUCGUAUAACUUGUAAGAAUUGCAAAGUUAUACCAGGAGAGAGCAUGGCUAAUCUACAUCGCUUGUUGGUGAUGGAUGUACAUAUCAAAAGAGUGAGAAAAAAGAACAAGACUUGGAAGUGCCCAAGGACUAGAUGGUGGAAUCUAAAAGAAGAAAAACAAGUCAUUUUCAAAGAGAAAGUAAUCACCCAAUGUGUGUGGGAUAGAGAGGGGGAAGCUAGCCAAAUGUGGGAUUCUAUGGCUAGUUGUAUCCGAAAAGUAGCAAAAGAGGUAUUAGGAGAGUCCAAGGGCUUUGCCCCACACCAAAAGGAAUCUUGGUGGUGGAAUGAGGAGGUACAAACAAAGGUGAAGGCUAAGAAGGAAUGUUGUAAAGCCUUAUACAAGGAUAUGACCGAUGAAAAUGAAGGAAAGCUUAUUUAUUGAUAUCCCCGAUAAGUUACAAAUAUGUACAUAUACAUGAGUCAAAAUAAACAAACAUGAGGGAGCCUUCACAAAGGUUGCUUAUGAGAAGUCUCAGCAGUCGGUAGAGCCCCAGAAAGAGAAGGCAUCGGAUGGGGAUCAUUCGGAGCCUCAGUACUGGACAGAACCCUAGAAGGAUGAGGCAUCAGAGGUUGAUCAUUUGAAGCUUCAUUACGCGGUACAGCCCCAGAAGACGAAGGCAAUAAAUGCCUUUGGAACAAACCCACAAAUCUCUGAUGAUCAAGUAAAACCUGACCAUCAGAUUCCUUCAUCUGGUCAAGCUUCCUCUUCAUGUUUGUAGCUUAGUCAUGUGCGAGCCGGUGCAACUGUUUAUUCUCAUGCUUGAGCCCUCUAAUCUCCUGUUUGAGACUCAUCACUUCAGCUGCCAAUGAUUCAACUUGGCGGGUUCGAGCAAAUAGGCGUUAAGCCAUAUUAGUCACAGAACCUGCACAUUGAACACUAAGAGCCAGAGAAUCCUUAACAGCCAACUCAUCAGACCGUUUGGAAAGUAGUCUGUUAUCUUUGGGAGUGAGAAGGUUCCUGGCCACUACCGCAGCGGUUAUAUCAUUCUUCAUCACGGAAUCCCCAACGGUAAGAGGACCAGUAGGGGAGACGAAAGAUGGGCGCCAUAUGUUGUUUGGAGAAGGUGUGACUGCCUCUUCAACAAGGUUCAAGUCAAAACGACGGUUGGAGGGGCCAGACAUUUUCAAAGGUGUUGAAGAGAGAAGAGGUCGGACAAAUCAAGAUCUUAGAAGUGCAAGAAUGAAGCUUCUACUGGUGGAGAUUCAAGUGUGCUUUGGAACUUAAUGCCAGCUUCUAUAAAAAUCUGCACUCGACAGAGCUUCAGAAAUCGAAGAGGUUCCUGCUCAAAAAUCGAAGAGGCGUUUGCUUUCUCAAAAGCUGGGCUGCUCAGAGACCACGAUGGUCGAUCUCAGAAAUCGAAGAGGCGUUUGCUUUCUCAAAAGUUGGGCUGCUCAAAGACCACGAAGGCCGAUCUUAGAAAUCGAAAAGGCGCUUGCUUUCUCAAAAGCUGGGCUGCUCAGAGACCACGAGGGCCGAUCUCAGAAAUCGAAGAGGCACCUACUUUUCCAGCCUUGUCAGCACCUGUCACACGCACACUCAACUUUGUGGAAAUUAUGGGCAUUCUGUCGAAGAUUUCUGGUGAAGUAGAAAGCACAUGAAUCUUACUGUUCAAUCACCCACUUCCCACACGCAACAUUAGCUCAUGGGUACCACAGAUAACUUUGUCAAAGUUCUCUGACAAAGUUGAGACACGUGAAGCUUGCAACUCCCACUACAUCGCUCUGACCAAGAAGGGUAAAAUAAUAGCAAAGAAACAGCACUAACAAAGUUUAGACACAGAAAUUUUGAAGGUCUAACUACCAUAUUAUUACCCACAAUGGUAAAGGAACAGUACCACUGCUGGAUAAUUGGAAAGUCCCUGUGUGUCAAUCUCUGUGCUUCGUGGCAAGGUAGACUAGCAAACAUGCCCAACCUUUACUCACAUUCGAGAAAACUCCCAACAAGAUUGCUUGCUCCAAAAUCGAAGAGGCACCGCCCUCCGAAUCUCGAGAGCCAGACUCCCAACAUGAUUACUUUCUCAAAAAUCGAAGAGACACCGCUCUCCGAAUCUCCAGAGCCAGACCCCCAUCAGGAUUGCUUUCUAAAAAAUCGAAGAGGCAUCGUUCUCCGAAUCUCGAGAGCCAGAUCAUCGACAGGAUUGCUUGUUCGAAAACCGAAGAGGCACCACUUUCCCAACUUCAAAAGCCGGAUCUCCUUGGAUAAAGCUUGUCUGUAAUCUUCACACGCAACAUCAGCUUUCCAGAUACCACAGACCAUUUUUUCAAAGUGCUCUGAUAGAGUUAAAACAUGUGAAGCUGGCAGCUUCCACUACCGUGCUAUGACCAAGCAGGGUAAAGGAAUAGCAUUACUACUUGUUGUUAGAGAGACUCCUAUAUAUGUCGACUUCCAUCCCCAACGGACAGGCAGACCUGCAAAAAUGCUCAACCCUUCCUCAUAUCUAAGAGGGCACUCACAACGAAGCCUUUCGAAAUAUUCAGCUUUCUUUCCCCCCCCCCGAUAAUACCUCUGCAAACAAGCUAUACUAGAGCAAGAAUAUCUCAUAUCAUCAGGGUUAAAAGCAAGAGUAUCCCAUAUCAUGCUUUUUCCCUGUCUUUUCCUUUGGCCUUGUUCUUACCUGCAAGACAAUGAGAAAGAGAGCAAUCAGUCAGCACUUGGAAUCAAGCUUCCAGUCAGGAACUGACUGCCUAGAACCCCUUACCUGAUUACUUACAUGGCAUUGCUCUCGAGUACUCAUCUUCAACAUCUUAUGCUUUCAGGGAAGAUACCGCAUCUGCCUGAGGAAAUAUAGGGCAAGUGAGAAGGAUACAAGGAAGCAUGUGGAGACAAGCGUAACAGCACACGUGUCGAUACAUCCACUACUCUGUCAAAAGAAAAAGUAUCCCAUAUCAGCAAGGUCGAACGUACUCUAGAUUUGAUGGACUUGUUUUGACCCUCAAAUUCUUCAGUCGGCCUUAUACUCUGGAGGAAACCAGAAAACCCUCCAGCCCAGUUCAAGAAUAAGCCUGUGGAAAGUUACUUCUUCAAAAGCAAAAGUAUCUCAUAUCAUCUCUUCUCAUUUUUCUUCUCUUUAUCCUUCAUGCUGCCUGCAAGAUAGGGAGAAUGUGAACAAUCAGCCGGAACUCGAAAUCAAAGUUCUGAUCUGGGACUGAUUGCUUAGAGCUCUGAUUGCUUACCUUGUCUGUCACCUCUUUCAGUAGAUCCCCUAGCUCGGCGACUUGGGGGACUCCUACUAUAUGGUUUGUAUCGUGCUUAACCAAGCCUGAAACUACAAGUAAGCUUCAAGUGAAAUUGAUACAUUACCUUGUGCAUCUCCACUAGUUAAAGAUACCACCACUGGAUGGAGGAAGAGUACUUCCAGAGGAGAUGCCACAUCUACCUAUGAGACAGAUAAGGCAAGUCAAGACGAUACCACACUCUGGUACUUAGAAGUUUAGUGACUACGAGAUCAUUCUCCCACAAUAUUUCCUAAUGUCAUUUGUACUACGAGAUCAUGCUGCCUGCAAGAUAGGGAGAAUGUGAACAAUCAGCAGGAACUCGAAAUCAAAGUUCUGAUCUGGGACUGAUUGCUUGGAGCUCUGAUUGCUUACCUUGUCUGUCACCUCUUUCAGUAGAUCCCCUAGCUCGGCGACUUGGGGGACUCCUACUAUAUGGUUUGUAUCGUGCUUAACCAAGCCUGAAACUACAAGUAAGCUUCAAGUGAAAUUGAUACAUUACCUUGUGCAUCUCCACCAGUUAAAGAUACCACCACUGGAUGGAGGAAGAGUACUUCCAGAGGAGAUGCCACAUCUACCUAUGAGACAGAUAAGGCAAGUCAAGACGAUACCACACUCUGGUACUUAGAAGUUUAGUGACUACGAGAUCAUUCUCCCACAAUAUUUCCUAAUGUCAUUUGUACUAAAUCAUUCACUUGUACUCACUAAAUGAGAGUUUGAACCUAUGUACUUGUGUAAACCCUUCACAAUUAAUGAGAACUCCUCUAUUCCGUGGACGUAGCCAAUCUAGGUGAACCACGUACAUCUUGUGUUUGCUUUCCUAUCUCUAUCCAUUUAUAUACUUAUCCACACUAAUGACCGGAGCAAUCUAGCGAAGAUCACAAAAAGCGAUCGUUUUCGCUACCUAGGAUCUAUCUUGCAAGAGAACGGAGAAUUAGAUGGAGAUCUCAACCAUAGAAUACAAGCUGGAUGAAUGAAGUGUAAGAGUGCAUCCGGCGUGUUGUGUGACCGUCGUAGGCCACUGAAGCUCAAGGGAAAAUUUUAUAGGACGGCAAUAAGGUCAGCGAUGUUGUAUGGCACAGAAUGUUGGGCGGUGAAGCAUCAACACGUACACAAAAUGGGUGUAGCGGAAAUGAGGAGGCUUCGUGGAAUGUGUGGGCACACGAGAAAGGAUAAGAUUGGGAAUGAGGGUAUCCGAGGUAAAGUAGGAGUAGCCGAAAUUGAAGAAAAGAUGAGAGAAAAUUGGUUACGGUGGUUUGGACAUGUGCAAAGAAGGCCUAGGGGUAGAGGUUCAGGGCCGAAGGGGUAGAUGAAGACCUAGAAAAUUUUGGAAGAGACCCUAAGAAAAGACUUAGAGUACUUGGAUCUAACGGAGGACAUGACACAAAACCAAGCGCAAUGGCGUUCUAGGAUUCAUAUAGCCGACCCCACUUAGUGGGAAAAGGCUUUGUUGUUGUUGUUGUUGUAAAGGUGGACAAGAAGUUAGCUUCUGGACUAAUUAAAGCGCAUUCUUAGAUGAGGGAGGGAGGACCAGCUCAGCAAUCAUCGUUGUAUUACGCGGUAUCCAGUCGGUCUGUUUUUUGUAAUGGUCAUGUGGUGCAUUUCUAAUUUCUCCUAUCUAAUUCUUUUAUAAUCUAUUUCUUCAUCACUAUGCUUUAGUUCCUUGGAAUUUGGUAGUUCCUUAUCCAAACAUACCCCAACACAGUGUUUGGAUGAGAAAAUUUUAGAUUACUACGGAGGGGCCGACAUUAAUCCUUAGCUACAGAGCAUUUGAAAACUGAACGAAUUUACGUUUAUACGAAAAAGAGUUUCCAUUGUAGCACAAGAGCACGUAACAGAAACAAGAAAAACAUAACCAGUGGCUUACCCCAUCACACCGAAAUCUAUUCAUUAAUAUACGACCACUCUUCAUUAAUAUAAAUUUCAAACCAGGUAGCAUAUUAUUCUGCACAUGAAGCAUUAGGAAAAAUCUUCAAAGCUCCAUCCAUUCUCGACUUAAAUUCUUUGCGAACCUCAUCGGUCAUCCCUCCAUUGCAGAGAGCACCAGAAAGUAUCUUCAAAGUUAUGCAAUUAGGUAAGAUUCCAUGGCAUAACAUUUUGUCAAACAACCUUGUGGCUUCUCUCCAUUGGUUGGUACGGCACAAUCCAUUAAUUAAGGAGUUGUAAGUCACAACAUUAGGCUUUUCCUCCCUAAAAAUCAUUUCUUCCACAAGAUUCAGCGCCUCUGCUGUCUUCCCUUCCUUGCAUAAAGCAUCCAGUACAGAAUUGUAUGUAACAAUAUUAGGCAGGACUCCAUAACCAGUCAUGGUUUUAAAUAACCUCACACCUUCCUCCCAGUUACCAGACUUGCAUGAAGCAGAAAUCAAGGAAUUAAAAGUGACAACAUCAGGCUUUAGGUCAUUCGUUGUCAUCUUUUCAAACAGAGUAAGCGCUUCAUGAAUUCUUUUUUCCUUGCAAAGAUGGCCGAUAAGAACAUUAUAUGUGUAUACAUCGGGUGAAAUUCCACUGUUAAGCAUGCAAAUCAAGAAGCUCUUGGCUUUUUCAAACCUCCCCGAUUGGCACAACGCAUAAAUUAGAGUGUUGUAGGUGACAACAUUAGGCUUGACUCCUUGAUCUACCAUUCCUCCAAAAAGAGAGAGCACUUCUUCCCAGCGGCUCGUGUUGCAUAACCCAUGAAUCAAUGUGGUAUAACUGAAAACAUUCGGUACAACAUUUUUGCUGAUCAUAUCUCGAAAUAGGGUCAAGGCCUCUUCUAUUCGUCUUUCUUUACAGAGGCUAUCGAUGAUGGGAUUGUAGCAAUCUUGGUUGGGCUUCAACCUUCCAUCUUCCCACAUCUUCAUUAGUAUCUCGAGUGCCUUAGAAGUUAUCCCAGCUUUGCAUAGUCCAUUGAUCAUGGUAGCAUAAGUUAUUUCAUUGCAUUCGUAUCCUUUCUCUUCUAUUAACUUGAACAGCUCCAUUGCCUCAGCCAGGGAAUUGUACAUGCAAAGCCCGUGAAGCAAAAUAGUUAAAGAACGAGCAUCGGGUUUAAGACCAUAUUUAAGGGUAAUUGCUAAAACAGAGAAACCCAAAUCCACCUGGUUUAGACGGCACAAGCAAUUCAGAAAAAUAUUGAUUGUACAGACAUCAGGUCGGAAUUGAGCGCAACCCAUCAACUGUUUACACAUAGAAACCACAGCAGAAUAUUCCUUCAUCUUGGAGAGUGCCCCAAACAAACAAUUGAAAGUCCAAAUAGAGGGCAAGGGUUUGGUUUGAAUCAUGGAAUCGAAGUAACCCAAU
rnacentral:lncRNA from 1 species